AGACUUUGUCUGAAUUAGAUAUUUCUAACAAUAACUUCGAAAGCCACAUUCCUAGAGAAAUAGGAUCAUAUUUUCCAAGUUUAACAUUUUUAUCCAUGUCUGAUAACCACUUCAGUGGUCGCGUUCCCUCUUCAUUUGACUUUCUGUUGUAUCUUCAAGUUUUGGACCUCUCAAAUAACAACAUCUCUGGAACCUUACCAUCUUUCUUUAACUCUUCAAACCUCCUGCAUGUUUAUCUGUCACGAAAUAUGCUACAAGGAUCCCUAGAACAUGCAUUUCAGAAAUCCUUUGAGCUAAUAACGUUGGAUCUUAGCCAUAAUCAUUUGACUGGUAGCAUUCCAAAAUGGAUUGGUGAGUUUUCCCAACUGAGCUUUCUUCUCUUGGGUUAUAAUAAUCUUGAUGGCAGUAUACCCACGCAAUUGUGCAAGUUGAACGAAUUAAGCUUCAUUGAUCUUUCUCAUAAUAAUUUUUCUGGUCAUAUUCUACCUUGCCUAAGAUUUAAAAGCAGUAUUUGGUUCAUCCACAAGAUAUCUUUGAGUUAAUCUUCGAGAACCAUUGGUUAUUGCAACAAAGAGUCUGUCUUAUUCUUAUCCGCCAAGUAUUUUGUACUACAUGACCGGAUUGGAUCUCUCCUGCAACAGUUUGUCAGGUGCGAUUCCUCCUGAAAUUGGGAAUCUCAACCACAUUCAUGUAUUGAACCUGUCCAACAAUCAUUUAAUAGGCCCAAUCCCACAAACUCUUUCAAAUUUGAGUGAAGUUGAGAGCUUGGACCUUUCCAAUAACAGCUUGAAUGGGGAAAUCCCUCCUCAACUUGUACAAUUGCAUUCUCUUGCCUAUUUUAGUGUAGCCAACAAUAACCUGUCUGGUAGGACUCCUGAGAUGGUUGCACAAUUCUCAACAUUCAAUAAGAGCAGCUACGAGGGAAAUCCCUUACUUUGUGGACCACCACUGCUUAACAGUUGCACCAAAGAAGUACCACCACCACCACCUGGGCCUUCUACUGAUGAGAAAGAAGAGCUUAGCGUCUUCAUUGAUGCACAAGUUUUCUGUGUGAGCUUUGUUGUGACGUACAUCAUGGUGCUGUUGGGAAUAGCUGCAGUUUUGUACAUAAACCCAGACUGGCGGCGAGCAUGGUUUUAUUUCAUUGAGAAGAGCAUCAACACUUGCUACUACUUUGUUGCGGACAAUCUUCUUAAGCCAUUCAGAAUCAGAGUUUGGAAGCCUUUGGUAUAAAUAAAUCUCAACUUUGCAUUGUUUCUACAUUUCAAAGGGAAGAUUUAGAUGGUCAAUCUUAUCUCAUCUCAGUAGUAUAAAUAAUGUCUGAAAAGCUGUGUUCUUUAUAGCAAUGUAAUGAAGAAAAUCAUUUCUUCACAAUUUUGCUUUCAGCAUUCAGCAAGUUCUUUCUCAUAUAUCUUCCUUCAAAUCGUAAGAACGAGUAAUGGAUAUUACCUAAGACAAACCCAAGGCAUGCAACUCAGUGUAGUUUAUUUGUAGGAGUAUCUGUUGAAUAAGGCAGAAAAUGGUAAAGUUUUCAUUUCCUCGUGUUAACUGGAAAUGUCAACUGGAAUAGAGUAGCUGUGGAAUUUAUUUUGUGUGAAUGCUCUGGAAUUGUUAGUUGGACUGAAGCUUUGAAACGAUUCGUAUGUACUUCAAAUUAGGUAGACUAAAGUUUUUUUUGUUAAAUAUGGUCCUUGUUCUUUCAAUUUUAAUUUUCAGCCCCAAUUGACUAAUUGAUCAUUAAGUUCCUCUCAAAACUAAAAACAUGCUUUGACCACGGUUAACAACUUUCUUUUCUUUUGUCUUAGCAGGUGGCCAAUCGAGCCAUCUUCAGGUCAAGCGAUGAAUGAAUGCAGCAACCUUUUUCUUCGUCAUAGCAUGUAAUUUUCCACAACCACUAACAAGACUAAUAAAAUUGAUCAUUAAGUUCCUCUCAAAACUCAAAACAUGCUUGAUUCGGCAAAUUAAAAGAAAUGUAAAUAGAAAAUAAUAUGGCAAGGAUGAAAUUGAAAAUAUUAAAAGUUUGAUGAUGGAAAAGAAUCAUUGUUCAAAAUAAACAACGCAAUCCAUAAUAACUAUUUUUUAAAAUAGUGAAUGUCACAUAUGUUUUAGUUGUAUAGUGAAUGUCACAUGUUUUAGUUGUUGUUAUUACUAUUACUAUUAUAUAUAUAUAAGGGAAGAUAUUUAUUGAAAUCCAAUUUUUUAGAAAUAUAAUUACAGAUAUGCACAUAUAAGGAUUAUAUAUGGAGCAUUUUACGAGAAACAAUAAAGAAAGAAAGUGUUUUUUGUAUUUUCAGAUUAUUUUGAUAUGCUGAUAUAAAAAAUAUAUAUCAUUAUAAUAAAUUUUUAAAUAAAAAAUAUUUUAAAAAAUAAUUAUUAAUACACUUUUAAAUACCAUCAUAAUUUACAGCAUUAUAACUUUGUUUGAGGAAGGGUAAAUAUUUAAAAAUAUUAGAUUGAAAGUCCAAAUAGGUUACUCAUCAUUGGGUUCAUGAUCCCCAAGCCACUCAUAUAUUUUCAAAGUUCAAGUUUUAAUAUCUAUUUAGUAUGGAUGCUGUGAUUUUAUUUUUGGUCUACCAGGGUGGUGGUGCCAUUUAUGUUUGGAGGAAGAGAGAAUUGCUCCAUUGGAAAUAAAAAAUUUCCUUUUACCUACCCCUUCCAAUCCCCAUGACGCAUUUAUGCACAAAUCUUCCAAUUCCCAACCCCUUGUUAACGAAAGAUCGAGCGUGUUGAUUCGUCUGGUAGUAUAAAGAGCAGCUUGUACAAAGCCAGUGGUAUACAAUUUAAUUCAUCAAGUAUUUCAAAUGGGUUAAGCAGGUUCUCUGUAGUAGUGAUAAAGCUGAUCUUCAUGGUUUUAUUACCAGGGUGGUGGUGUCAUUUGUGUUUGGAGGAAGAGAGAAUUGCUCCACUGGAAAUAAAAACACUUCCUUUUACCUACACCUUCCAAUCCCCAUGACGCAAUUAUGCACAAAUCUUCCAAUUCCACGCUAUCGAUCCUGUGGUUUGGAUGGAAUUGGUCGACGUCAUCACAUGAUUUUCCAUAUGUAAUAAAGUCUUCUUUAUUUGGCUUAUUGUCCCAUUGAUUCUUCGAGGAAAUUCCCAAGUUUUAGCAUUACAUCAUGCAUAGUGCCAGCAGGAAGAUCAUCAAUUCAAUGGUCGGCAACACAGCAGAAAGAUCAUCAUGCAUAGUGCCAGGAAAUUCCGUCAUCAUGCAUAUUGCCCCCCUCUGUGACGUUCCUUUUACUUUUCACUUUGCCUUGGAAUGACAAUAAAAAAUAUCGGAAUAUCGAGAUUUAAUCUUGUAUUACUAAUUUUAUUUUUUUUAUUAGAUCAUAAAAUAACUUUCUUAAAUUACUUAUAAGAACUAGAAAUAAUUAAGGGUUAUUUCUCAAAUAAAAGAAAAGGUAUUGGCACCAUAAAUACACCAUGCUUAGUUUAGAAAUUUAUACAAGGAUUUAUGCAUAUUCAAGCUGAUAGUGCAGUUUAAUAAGACAAAAUUAAGAAUUUGGAGGGUUUAUUUUCAUCGACUAAACUAAUAGAAAGAGUCGAUAUCUAGACGGAGGAAAUCACAAAUAAUUAUUGAAGUCACAAAACUUAAAAGACAAGUGAAAAUCAAUGACCCAACCAAAGUCAAGUCAACCGUGAAAACAACCUUUAAUCAUGUGACUUUUUACCUUUUCGAUGGUUUUAAUGGGCUUCUCAUAUGCACAUGAAAAAUUGAAUUAGAACAUCUUAGUAACCGUGGAAGAUAAUAUUUUUUAAUUUGAUCAAAUAAUUUAUUGAUAUCAAGUUGUUUUGUCUACUGAUUUAGAAUAAAAUUUAAAAUUUCACAUUACCGAGAAUGUUUUUAUUGAUAUUGAUGUUAAUGUUGAGGAAUUAAAUAAUGCUUUGAGAACCAACGGACAUGCAGAACCAAUGCAAAAUAUUAUGAUGGAGAUGACGAUGACGAAGAUGAAAUUGAAGAAAACAAUCCUGAUUAAUUUGCACAACACACAAAUGUGUAAUGAAAUUAUCUUUACUGUAAUGACAAUGACAUGCAUUUAUUAUUACAUGAUAAGGAAACAUUUAUUUUUUGUAAUUUUAUUAUUUUACACAUAACUGGUAUUAUUAAAUUUUGUGCGUUGUUGUAUUUUUAAGAAUUUGCAUGAUGGAUAGAUAAAGAAUAUAGAUAGAAUAUGGCCACAUAUAUUGUUUUAUACAUAUGGCAUUACCAAUAUACUAUAAAAUACCAAUACAUAUACUGAUAGAUUAAGUCUGUUGGUUUAUUUCAGAGAGGUUUGGAAUUGUUCACUUUUCAAUGACACUAUUCAUUAUACUUAUUACAUAUGGAAUCAUCGACAUAUUAAGUCCAUCGAUAUUUUCUGGAGAGCUUUAGAAUUGUUCACUUCUCAAUGACACUAUUAAUAUUGUUCAUUCCAAACGGAAUUACUAAUAGACUGAAAAGUCAUCAAUGAUAUUUGAGGGGCUUUGAAAAUUUUCAAUUAAAUGUUACAAACAAAAAUACCAAGGAAAAUGUUAAAAAUGUUAAAAUUUAAUUAUCCAUUGGUAAAACCUUUGAUUAAAAAGAAAACCCAAAUAAAGACCAGAUGCCCUAAUAUCAUAAAAGACAAGCAUUUCUUCUUCUUAUCUCUUCCUCUUUGGUAAAAAAAACAAAAAAGUUUCUCUCUCUUUCGCUCAUUCUUAACUCCUCUUCUCUUCUUUUUUUCUCUACUCAGUUUUACUCUUUUUUUUAAUAAACAUAUUGUGAGUUGAGAAUAAUUGGGAGGCUUAACCUAAUAGGUAGCCAACCCUUUCUAUAUAUAUAUAUAUAGGGCAAUAUACAAUAGUAAUGGUGGAGUUUACCACACAAGAGUAUGUCUACAAUAUUUCCUAUAUAAGUAUAUUCUAUAAUAUGCCCCUCAAGCUGAGGGUGGAGGAUCAACCCAAAGCUUGAAAUGAAAAGCAAUAAACGAAGAAGUAGGAAGUGGCUUAGUGAAGAAAUCGGCAAGUUAAUCCUGAGAGGAAAUAAAACGAAUCUGAAUCUCCUUCUUUGCAACUCUAUCUCGGACAAAAUGAUAAUCAACCUCAACAUGUUUUGUGCGAACAUGAAAAACAGGAUUCGCAGACAAAUAAGUGGCACCAAGAUUGUCACACAAGAUAAUAGGAGCAGAAGCAGAUGGAAGCUGGAGAUCUGUUAAUAAGUAUUGAAGCCAGAUAACCUCAGCAGUGCCAUCAGCUAAGGCUUUGUACUCAGCUUCAGUAGAAGAGCGAGCAACUGUGUGUUGCUUACUGGAUUUCCAUGAAAUCAGGGUCUGACCAAAAAACACAAGAUAACCACCCGUAGAUUUUCUGUUCUCAACAUUGCCUGCCCAAUCUGCAUCUGUAAAACCAUGUAAGGCAAAAGAAGAACUGCGAGUAAUAUGUAAGCCAUGUGAUGUCGUACCCCGAAGAUAACGCAAGAUUCGUUCCACGGCAGCCCAAUGAGAAUCUGUAGGAGCAUGCAUAAACUGACAAACUUUGUUAACAGCAAAGCAAAUAUCUAGGAGCGUAAAAGUGAGAUAUUGAAGAGCACUCACAAUUUGACGAAAGCGGGUAGCAUCAUAAAACAAUGGAUCGGGCAGAAUGGUAGCUUUGGAUGUAGAGAUAGGAGUAUCAACAGGUUUGCAAGAUAACAUACCAGCCCGAGUGAGGAUGUCAAGUAUAUAUUUAUGCUGGCGGAGCAUAAGACCCAUACUAGUAGACUGAGCCUCAAUACCUAAAAAAUAAUGAACAGAACCCAAGUCACGAAGCUUAAAUUCUAAGCUCAGUAGCUUAAUGAGGCAUUGGAGAAGAAGAGAGUUACUACCCGUAAGCAGAAUAUCAUCAAUAUAGACUAGAAGAUAACAAAUAUCAGCACCAACAGAGAAGAUAAACAAUGAGGUAUCCACCUUAGAGGUACGAAAACCAAUAGAUAACAAGAAAUCAUUCAGACGAGUGUACUAAGCCCGCGGAGCCUGUUUUAAACCAUAUAGAGAUUUAUGCAAUCAGCACACAUGAGAGGGGAGAGCAGGAUCAACAAAACCUGGAGGUUGUUUCAUGUAGACCUCCUCAUCAAGAACACCAUUGAGGAAAGCAUUAUGGAUGUCAAGCUGAUGAAUUUUCCAACCACACGAAACUACAAUGGAGAAGACUAAUCUGACGGUUGCCUAUUUAAUGAAAGAACUAAAAGUUUCAGAGUAAUCAAUACCUUCUUGCUGAGUGAAACCUCUAGCAACCAAACACGCCUUAUACCUCUUAAUGCUUUUAUCAGAUCCGUGUUUAAUCUUGUAUACCCACCGACUACCAACAACAUUCAUGGAGGGGUGAAAUGGCACUAAGGUCCAAGUUCUAUUUGUGUGUAAGGCCUGAAUUUCCUCAUGCAUAGCACUAUGCCACGCCUUAUAUCUGUUAGCAUCAUUAAAAACAAGUGGCUCAUGAGAGGGAAGAGAAACUACCCGGCUGAAAGAGUCAAUAGAGGCUGCGGCAGUGGCUGUGGACAGCGCUGUCUUAGGCUGUCGUGGAUGAAGAAUCAUGGGAUGUUGACGAGCAGUUGGGCAUGGAGAAGUGUGACCUGUACCUGGAAGAUGCUGAAGAGGAUAUGAGGAGAGCAUGGUUGUUAAAAUCGCGUUUUGACUCGUAAAAUCGUAUGAUUUUACGAGUCAAAACAUGCAUUACGAGUUGAAUCGCUUGAAAAAAUUGAAAAUGGGUAAAAUCGGGUGAAAUCACAAAAAUCGGAUGAAAUCGCGCAAAAUCGCGAUAUCAGGACCGAUUGUGCGAUUUCAACAAAAUUAGGUGCUUAAAGUUUUUUUCCCUCAUGUCUAGCUGUCAGACGCCUAUUGGAAUUUGCUUUUCCCUUUACGUGACUGUCUUCAGUCUUCAGUCCACUGCCCACUAUCGUUACCUGACCCAAGUAAAGUCUGCGCCAGACCAGCCUCUGAUCAGGUUAUAAUAACAAAUUCUGAAUUCAAAAAGGUAGCAAGAACUUCAAGUUCAAAGUUCUACUCGUCAGAUAUAUAUAUAUAUAUAUAUAUAUAUAUAUAUAUAUAUAUAUAUAUAUAUAUAAACUAAUAAAAAAAAAUACUUUUAAGAUAGCUUCCAAGGAAAUAAAAAACAUGUUUUUAUAUAUAGAUAUAAACUUUUUAAAUACUUCAAUGAAAUACUUUUUAUAUAUAGAUAUAAACUAAUAAAAAACAUGUUUUUUAAGGUGCUUGAACUAUGUAUAAAUUUUUAUUUGAAACAUGAAUUUUUUUAAUGUAUUUUAAAAUUCUUUACGAUUUUUUUACGAUUUUACGAUCCGUUUUUACGAUCCGAGUUUGUGAACGGCUUUUUGUUUCGUGUUAAAAUCGCGAUUUUAACAACCUUGGAGGAGAGGUCUACAAAGAGCUGCAUACCAGAUGGAGAAGCAGUGGAGGGACUGGUCGGCACUGCAGACACUGGUGAGGCUACGGUAGAACUGGGAUGUUCUACUGCAGAACCAGGCUGCUCUGUUGCAGCAGACCUGAGAACAUGCGCAUUCGGUGAUGGAAAACCUGUUCCUGCACAAUGAUCAUUGGAAAGAAAAGCAUAUGGUGACAGUAUGGCAGUGUGGGAUGGUGAUGAAGUGGUGGCAGAAUCUAUGGGAAAAAGGGUGGUCUGAUGGGGUGCGACAUAGGGCAGAAUUGGGUUGUGGUUGGGGCCGGUUUGGUAAGUAGUAGGAUGAAAGGAUGGAGAAGGGUUCAAGGAUGGAAGAUAGGUAGGUGGGGUGGGAGGUACUGGUGAGGAUGUUACCUGUUCAAACUUCGCAAAUGGAACACAAGGAGAUAUAAAUACGAUCAAACUCUAAGUCAAGACAAUGAUAACCAAGAUGGGAUGAGCUAUAGCCUAAAAACACACAAGGAGAAGACCGGAAAUCUAAUUUAUGAGCAUGAUAUGGACGCAAAAAAGGGAAACAAAGACACCCAAAAGUACUUAGGAAGUUAUAAUCAGGAGUGUGUCGAAACAGACACUCAAACAGAGAUGUAUUUUGGAGAACAAGAGUAGGCAUGCGAUUAAUAAGGUAGACCGAUGAUUCAAAAGCAUAGUUCCAAAAUCGCAAUAGGGCACUACACUGGCCUAAAGGGUUAAGCCAGUUUCGACAAUAUGUCAAUAACGACGUUCAACAGUGCCAUUUUUUUCAUGCGUAUGUGGAAAAAUUAACCGAUGAUGAAUACCAAUGGUCUGAAAAAAUUUAUUUAAUUUACGAUUGUCGCUGGGGGCGGGCGACGCGACGUCGUCUGGCAACGGCGGAGGCUACUAUCUUGCCUCCUGUGUGAGGUGUUGUGUUUGGAAAGGGUUUUCAUCAUAAAAUUAUGAUUAAGGUUCAGGAGUCGCCACCUAGUAUUAUGGUCACUAGGAACCUUUGGUCUGCGAGAGUCUAAGUAAGGGACUGGUUGUGCUAGGAGAAGACGCAUCACCCCCAGUGCACUCUACCUAAGGUAAGUUGCAUUAUUGUUUGAUUGUUUUUUUUUUUUUUUUCUGAGUCGGGUUUCUGGUUGUCUUUUCCAAGGCUCAAGGCAGAUCUCUCUUUAUGAGAGAGUCUCUACCUUAUUGAGUUAAAUCCUAACAUCACAUUUCUACACCUUGUAUCAUCUUUAAUACCUGAGGGUGUACUUUAUCGUGUAAUUUUAUAACCCACAAAUAUUAAAGUCUACAUCUGGAUCCUAAAACAAAAAUUGAAAAAAGAUUUUUGACAUAUUGGCCAAAUAGAUUACUCAUCAUUGGGUUCAUGAUCCCCAAGCCACCCAUAUAUUUCCAAAGUUCAAGUUUUAAUAUCUAUUUAGUAUGGAUGCUGUGAUUUUAUUUUUGGUCUACAGGGUGGUGUUGCUACCCAAUUUUUUACCCAUAUUUUUGAUAAAUUUUAAGAAAAAUAAAAAAUAGCAAAAAAACAAAGAAAAACCCAAAAAAUGUAUUUUUGAUGUAUUCUCAUCGUUUUUGGCAUUUUCAACGCCAUCUCAAAAGAAUUUAAAUUUUCAAAAGUAUUUUGAACGCGUUCAACUCUUAACGCGUAAAUUUUACAAUCACUGAUUUUUCUUGUUGAGUCGAUGUUGAUAUUGCUCGCUUUCAAAAAUACAAAAAAAAAUAAGAAAAAUCAAAAUUUACAAAAAAGAAAAAGAAAAGUUGAGGGACUAGUUUGAAAAUAUAGUAAAACUUUGACUAUAACACACCCUACCUGAGGUAAGCUGCUUCGCGAAUUUGAUGUGUUAAAGAAGUUUUAAUAAUUGUCUUUUCAUCGAAAAUUAGAAAUAUCACUUGUUGCUACCCAAUUUUUGACCCAUGUUUUUGAUAUAUUUUUUCAAAAAUCCAAAAAUAGAGAAAAACAAUGAAAAUCCAAAAAAUAUGUUUUUUAAUAUAUUCUCGUCAUUUUAGCAUUUUCAGCGUCGUCUAAAAAGAUUUUAAUUUUUAUUUAAAGAAUUUAAUUUUUCAAAAGAUUUUCAAACGCGUUCGACUUUUCACGCGUCAUUUUUAAAAUCAUUGAUUUUCCGUAUUUUGAGUCGACGUUGAUAUUGCUCGUUUUCAAAAAAUACAAAAAAAUAAUGAAAAUCAAAAUUUACAAAAAGAAAGAAGUUGAGGGACCAAGUUGAAAAACCUAGCAAAAGUUUUGCCUAUAAAUACUGGUUUCCAACACUUACUAAAGGGGGGGGCAAUUUUGAAACUUCAACAAAAAUACAAAAGAAAAAACCCUAAACCUAUCUUUUGUUUUCUCCAAACAGCCUACCCAAAGGAGCCGCCCCCCCGGUUUGAAAUUUUUUGGAACUUCCAGCCGUUGCUCCUUCUCGCCCAAGGCCCCUUCCCCUCUGGUUUUAUUUUUAUUUUUAUUUUAUUUUUUUCAGCUGGAGCCAAAACAGAGCCGCCCUACUCCCAUUGACAGAGAUAAACUAGCCGGCGGCGCCCCCCACACCUUUUGAUUUUUUCUGAUCUCCCUGCACAAAAGAAAACCAAGCCGCCCCCCCCUUUCCUGGUUUGAAUUGCCCAGCCAUCUUCAUCUUCACCAUAACAGCCCCACACUCCCCCUUUUGAUUUUUUCGUUUCUUCUUCAACCGGCCACAACUGCUUUUUUUUUCUUCCUCACCGAACCCCACUGACCAGCCGAUUGCUCCUCCCCUCACUCCACAGCCGCCGGUCACCAGACCUCCCUCCCCCUCAGCCGUUCCUUCUUCCCUUGGCUAACAGCCUCAUCACCGUUCCCCCCUAUUUUCCUCUCCUGGUCCAGCCCCUGCAUUUACUUCCUUGUUGCAGCCUCCCCACAGCAAACUCCAAUCUGCCUUAAGCCAGCCACAAACUCAUUUCCUUCAACAACCGGCCUAUCUUCUUCCUCCUUCGGUUUCCAUCAACGCCGAUCUUCUUCUCAGCCGACCACACAGACGCCUCCAUCACCAGCCAGCCACCGCAGCCUUCCCAUCAGCAACGGCUGCUUCUCCUUCGGUUGCCUCUCCCAGCGGCGGCCGAACAGCAGCGCCGCUACCACCGAGAGGCUGCCAACCGUUAGCCACAGGCGCCCUGACAGCAGAUCCGGUCACCUGAGACAGACGAGAGGAGGCAGAGAAACGGAAGGAAACAGAUCUAAAAAAGGAAAAAACUUGGGAACGGAUGAAAUAAAACGGAAAUUAAAACAGAUUGUUGUUGCGUUUUUAUUCGUUUUGCAGGUCAGUGUCAUCGCCGGUGAAGAGGGGAGGUUGUGAAUGAACCCCUGCUCACUGUACUUCUCCAGCGGCGGCGCAUGAACCCACGCGCCGCCAGUGACGGUGGCGCGUGGGAAGACGUGCCACCGCCGUUCAGACCAUUCCAGAAGCGUUCCUAUGCAAUUCCUGGAGUUUAGGGGGACUGUUUUGUACAUUUUAAAUUAAUUCAUGUAAUUUUUAUGUUUUUUUGUUUUGAAUUUGUAUUUGGAUUUUGUAAAUAUGGAUGUAAAAGAAAAGAAAAGAAAAAGAAUAGAAACAAAAAUAAAAUAGUGAAAGUGUAUGUGUGUGCUUGUAUUUUUGUUUUAUUUAUUUGUACAUAUUUUUUUAAAUGAUAAAAUUGCAAAUAUAUUAAAGAAGAAUUUAAUAUUUUGAUCGGAUCACGGUUAAGAAUUAUUAACUUAUACUUAAGUGAUAUUUCUAAUUUCCGAAGAAAAGACAAUUAUUAAAACUUCUUUAACACGUAAAAGCCACGAAGCAGCUUACCUCAGGUAGGGUGCGUUAGGGGUGCUAAUACCUUCCCUAACCACAACCAGCCCCUUACCCGCGAAUCUCUGACAAAACCAGUACAUCGGGUUUCCUAGUAGCCCGAAAUCAAUUACUAGGUGGCGACUCCAACGAACCAAAUUCAAACGCAACAACGAGAUAAAUCGCCAGCCGAUGCCGCGCGCUGAUUGAUUUUUUUUUUUUGGGGUGCGACAUCACUUACGUAUAAGUUAAUAAUUCUUAACUGUGAUCCGAUCAAAAUAUUAAAUUCUUCUUUAAUAUAUUUGCAAUUUUAUCCUAAAAAAUAAAUAAAUAAAUAAAUAAAAUAAAAAAAUUCAUAAAACAAAUACAAACACACACAUACACUUUCACUGUAUUUCUUUUCUUUUCUUUUUUUUGUUACAUCCAUAAUACAAAAUACAAAUACAAAUACAAAUACAAAUUCAAAAUAAAUAAAUAAAAAUUACAUUACAUAAUUUAAAAUUUACAAAACAGUCCCUAAAAUUCUAGAAAUUACAGGGAAGGACUUCUUGGGGCUGUAUGCACAGUGCCGGACGCGUGGAUCCACGCACCCCCGCCACUGGCGACGCGUGAAUCCACGCACCACAGCUGAGAAACCCGGCAACCGGUGGAUCCGGCUCGUCUCUGUUUCCUCUUCUUUUCCUCGCCGGCGGUGAAGAUCACCGCCAGCUGCAACAAGAAAAAACACACAAAGAGCAGUCGGUUUUAGUUUUUUAGAUCUGUUUUUAAAUUUUUUUCUUCUGCCAGUUUCGGAUCUGCUCAUUUCUGUUUUCUCUACUCCUCAAGUGCUAGAUCUGGCAAUUGGAAGGAGAUGAAGAAGACGGUGGGGCCGCUGCUGCGUUUGGUGGAGGAGCUGGUGGGUCUGCGGCUGUCGGGUCUGUUCAGUGACCCGGAGAGGGAGACCGAUGAGUCGGCUGAGAGAGGAGGGUGGAAGCCCGUCUGGCUGAUGGUGGUCUGUGGCCGCUACUAGGUAGGCUGUGAGAGAUUGGGCCAAGACCGGCGUUGAUGGGGAGACGAUGGGGAAGUGAAAAGGGAGGCUGGUUUGGGUUCGUGAGGAAAAGGGGCUGUGAGCGGAGAGAGGGAAGAUGGUCGGGCGUGUGGGUUCAGGAGAUGGGUGAAGGAGAUGAAGCUUUGGCCGGAGGCUGGUGAAAAAAUCAAAAAUCAGUGAGGGGCGGUUUGAGCUGCGGUGGAGAGGCAGAGGUGGAAGGGGUUGGUUCGGUUUGCUGCUGUUUGGGGGAGGUUGAGAGUCAAGGACGAAAGACAGAGGGGGGCGGCGGCGGCUCAAGGUGUGGAGAAACAAAAAACCGGGGGUGGCUGUGUUUGGGGUUUUUAGGGUUAGGUUUUUAUGUGAUGUUUCAAAAUUUCCCCCAUGCCUCAAAAUUGCGCCCCCCCCACUCUAAAAAAUCAGUGUAGCAUGGUAUUUAUAGGAAAAAUUUUGCUAGGUUUUUCAACUUGGUCCCUCAACUUCUUUUUUUUACAAAUUUUGAUUUUUUCUUAUUUUUUUGUAUUUUUUGAAAAUGAGCAAUAUCAACGUCGACUCAAUCAAUGAUUUAAAAAUGACGCGUGAAAAGUCGAACGCGUUUGAAAAUCUUUUAAAAAUUUAAAUUCUUUUUUAGACGACGUUGAAAAUGCUAAAAUGACGAGAAUAUAUUAAAAAAAACAUAUUUUUUGGAUUUUCAUUGUUUUUUCUCUAUUUUUGGAUUUUUUGAAAAUAGGUUACCAAGUUCAAGCAAACACAACAAACAAACGAGAAAGAUCGCCAUAGAAGAGAUAAGGCAUGAUUCCACGUGUUGGUAGUGGCGAUACUACAAGUUUUUGGGCGUUGCCAAGAUUACCAAGCUGUUAGAAAGUUUUCUAACAAUCCUCAACCAACCAUAGCAACAUUGGAAGAUUGAAAUAAUGUUGUGAGGAUUUGCCAAAAAAUUGAACAAGCUAUGAAAAGAGAAAGAUUGAAGGAUUUGCCAUGGAUUCUAGAACAAUGAUGAGAGGUGAAUCAGGAGAUGACUUUGACGGUGUGAACCCUUAAUUAUGUGGUAUAGCCAGGUCUCACGGUAGCAUCAAUUGCUCAAAUGUCUUUGCCAAGAUGGGACAUUCCUCUGCCACUUAAGUUUGUCGACCAGCAUCUGCCAGAUUGCAGAAUUUUGCUUGACUCCGACAAAUCCCAUGCAACCACCAAUUUCUAGGUGGUAUAAUCCAAAUAAGAGAUGUGAUGUCAUUAGUGGGGUCCUCAACCAUUUCCAGUGAACAGUUUCAAGAAUUGCAAGAAUUGAGUCUGAAAGUUGGUGAGCAAGAGAAAGUGGAGUCGUGAAGAGGGUGUCAUUGGCUAUAUUGCCCCGAACAUCUUCAGAAUGACAUGUGAUCGAAAGUGCUUGGCAAAACACAGAUAUUGCCAGAAAAGCUGAUUCAAGAAUGGUGAUGAACAUCAAUCAUAUUGUUAUGGAAUUCUGCAUUUUGUUUUGGGAUCACAUCUCAUCCUUCAACGAAACAUGCCUUGCUUUUGUCUCUUUGUUGUUUUGAAAUCAACAGAUGUUUAGCAUUUUAUUCUGACAAAAUAUUUUGAUCAAACUCCAACAUGCGAUAAAGGUUAAUCAAUCCGGAAGAUUAAAAGUGUUUUGAUUACAGAAAUGACUCUAUGCUUGAAAAUGACAUGAGGUGACAAACAAUUUUGAACUCAUACCUCCUGAAACUGAACCACACAUCAUAUAGCUAAGUUUUAACAGUAUGCAUAAUGACAUGUAGUGGAUUCGGUAGUUAUGGACUCGUGAAUCAUGAUUCUUACAAGUCCAAAUCAUUACACUGGAUGAGGUCAAAAUUUAUCGGUUCUAACCGACCUUGCUUGAAAUGAGAAAAGGCCAUCUUUGAUAUCCCUUCACUUUCUAAAGAUUAUAUCCCUUGUAGUCCCAUUUUGAGCUGGUAAAAUAUUUUUUCAAAAAGAAACCCUGACUAGGAUCACACCCACACUGGGGGCAAAUGAGAGAUAUUUUGGAGACAUUGAUAUGAUUAAUGGAUAAAGAGUAAGGCUUAGAACAAAAAUCCAAUGAUUGAGAGAGAGCUAGAAGAAGACACAUAGACUGGGGGCAUAUAAGAAAGUUUUGAGGAAGGCUAUAAAAAAAAAGAAUGAAAAAAGGAAGUUGAAAUUGCCUUCACUUAAAUACAAGUCAAAGAUAAAGGAUGGAGAACGCCUAUCAUGUCUAUGAAAAGCAAAAGAAAUUUCAAUCAAAGAAGGACACAACAAGGAAAGGUGAUUAAGGUUAAAUGUGACUUUUGGUUUCUAUUAUAAAGUUUAUAAUGUUAUCAGAUGAUUAAGGUUGGUUAUUCAUCAAGGAAAGGUGGAUUUGCAUUAUGACUUAUGUUAAGAAAAGUCUGAACUUUGAGGUUAACAAGGUUAUAUGUUAUUUCCUCUACAAAGACAACAAUAGAAAAGAUUUGAUGAAUAGUGGAUGUUGAUCCUAGGUCUUUGAAACCCUCAAACACCUUUUGAGCCUUUGAAAUUCCUUUCUUUCAUAGCCAUGAACCAUAGCCUGCAUUACGUGCUUUUAAAAGCCCUUUUUAAUCAAGCAAGCAAUUUGAACUGAUAAAUGGCGCUCUUAAAACUUGAAGAGCUUUUCCAUAAGGGUCGUGACUUCAUGAAUUAAGCUAUUGGUUAUUAUGCAUGCUGAUAAAACAAGCUAAGAAAAAGAAAAACCUUUCUUGAUAAAGCCUAAGUUUGACUUGUCUUUUUUGAAAUUCAUAAAAGGUCACCUCAUCAUAGACUAUCAAAUGAUAUACCCAAUAUCAAGGAUUCAAAUUGAUACAAAGAACCAUGGAAAAAGCCAUUUUAAUCCUACAUUGGGUCAAUUUCUGUUCCAUGACAAUCAAAGGACUGUAUAUUUCGAAUAACGUGUGUUGGGUCUUUGAUCAAAAAGCUUGAUUUUCAAAAGGCAUUUUUGAAAAGGACAUCUCUGAUUUCAUUUCAACAAAUUAGACUUUGAACAAACAUGAUCUUUGAAAUAUGAGAAUUGAUUCCAAAACAAGGAAGAUUAUCAAACACAGAAGAACAUCGAUUGAGUAUGCAAAAUCAUUGAUAGAAAUGACAUUGAAGUCCUCGACACUCCUUGAAAAGUUGAGCAGCUAGGGCCAAUACAGUAGACCUUGAAAAGGAAAAACAAGCGGUGCUCAGAUCAACUAUGAGGCAAUGAUUAAAUGAUGAAUCGGUGAACUGAAGACAAUGAUGUUCAAAGACAGAUAAUCAAUGAACGAGCACAUUCAGAUCAUCCUGGGGGCAAUGUCAUUCCAAAAUGGCCCAUGCUCUAGUGAACCCUGUCGGCAAUGGAGAAACAAGAUGUACUUGAAGGACACUUUCAUAUCAUCAUCUUUUGAAACAUGGCUAGCAAUCGAUGAAGAUACACAGAUGAAUGUAAUUGAAUGGUGAAAAGAUGCAUACCACCAAGACUGACUGUGGAACAAUGCUGCACUUAAAGGACAAUCUCAUAUUGUCAUCUUUGAAACAUGGUUUAAGAUGUUAUCACACAACUGCAUUGAAUGAAUGUCGGAAGGCACCCACCUCGAAGACUGACUUGGGAUAACUUGUUUUGAAGCCAGAUGAGCGCUUCACCGCAUGAGUAUGAGUGAUAAAAGCAGCAUCAUUGAUGAGGCCAGACAUUUCUUUUCACAAUCUGAUUAGAAGAGUUGAAAGGAAUCUAUUGAGAAGAACACUGAGCAUACAACCAUGAGCCUUUGUACUGCAAGCUAUGAGAUGCAUGUCUGGAUGACUGAUGAUUCCAAGAAGGCUGAUGAUAACAUGUACUUGAAGAGUACUGUUUCAACUAGAGGCAAGAUCAUGACUGAUUGACAAUUUUAAUGGGUGUUGGCACGCACAACCAAUCAAAGGACAAUUCUUGAGAGAAUAUGGAGAUGAUGAUUUGUUCCAUUCCUUCAGGAUGAAUCGAGCAACACCACACUUGCAAGGGGUCAAACUUGAUGAACGAUGCAAGCAGUAAUUGUCGAAGACAGCCCGGGAUGGGCACUGCAUUUACAGCUGAGUGGAUGGCUAGCACAUGAAUGAGCCAAUACAUCGGAAAGAACAAGAAAGCUUUGGAAUGCAAACAAGGCACCCUAUGACGAUGGAGCAUCAAAGAGUGGGGGGGGCUAUAUUUCAAAUCAGGUAAGGAUGCAUGCAUGUCAUCUAACCUAAAAAAAAAAAAAAAUUUGCACAUACUUUUUGAAUUGUUACAGGAAAAUCCUUAAUGAGGUCCAGCAAGAUGGUGGAAAAAGAAAGAAGCAUUGUGGUGAUGAUAAUAAAGAAUCAAUUUUGAUCAUGGAAUAAAAGGGAAGAUGGGAUGAACCCUACCAUUAGGGAAAUCCCAAAGAAAUGAAAAGAUCAACCUUGCAAUCGGGAAGCCUCGAGUUUUCAAAACCUAUGAUCGGGGACUGUCAGGAAGCACCAAGUUUUCCAGCCCUUCUUCUGUCAUCCCCUUAUGACUUCGCCAGGUAAGUCCUAUUUUUCACACUUGUCAUAUCACAUUCUUUCCAUCUGGGUAGGUCGCCCAUCAUAAUAAGACUGUUUUUCAUAUUUUUUUCCAUUUGGGUAGGUCACCCAUGACAAUGAGAUCGCAUUUCAUCAUAUUUUUUUCCAUCUGGGUAGCUCACCCAUUACAAUGAGACCACACUUCAUAUUUUUUCCAUUUGGGUAGGUCACCCAUGACAAUGAGAUCGCAUUUCAUCAUAUUUUUUUCCAUCUGGGUAGCUCACCCAUUACAAUGAGACCACACUUCAUAUUUUUUCCAUUUCUGGGCAGGUCACCCAUAAGAAUGAGACUAUUCUCCAUUUUUUUACUUGGGUAGGUCACCCAUUAUAAUGAGACCACUUUUUACACAUUCUUUUGUUCCAGUUGAAUGAGGUCGCCAGAUGGGAUCUCAUGUAGCUUUGGUUAAAGGGAAUCGCCAGAUGGAGUCUCGGGUUGACCGAGCUACACACAUUCCUUGGUUAUGGUUAAAGGGGAUCGGCGAAGGGAUCUCAUUUUAACCUAAUUGGAAAGGAUUUUGGUUCUGGUUGAAGGGGAUCGGCGAAGGGAUCUCAGUUCAAUCUAACCACACAGACCUUGGUUAUGCUUAAAGGGGAUCGGCGAAGGGAUCUCAGUUUAACCUAAUUGGAAAGGACUUUGGUUCUGGUUCAAGAGGAUCAGCGAAGGGAUCUCAGUUCAGUCUAACCACACAGACCUUGGUUAUGGUUAAAGGGGAUCGGCGAAGGGAUCUCAGUUUAACUUAAUUGGAAAGGAUUUUGGUUCUGGUUGAAGGGGAUCGGCGAAGGGAUCUCAAUUCAGUCUAACCAUACAGACCUUGGUUAUGGUUAAAGGGGAUCGGCGAAGGGAUCUCAGUUUAACCUAAUUGGAAAGGAUUUUGGUUCUGGUUGAAGGGGAUCGACGAAGGGAUCUCAGCUCAGUCUAACCACACAGACCUUGGUUAUGGUUAAAGGGGAUCGGUGAAGGGAUCUCAGUUUAACCUAAUUGGAAAGGAUUUUGGUUCUGGUUGAAGGGGAUCGGCGAAGGGAUCUCAAUUCAAUCUAACCACACAGACCUUGGUUAUGGUUAAAGGGGAUCGGUGAAGGGAUCUCAGUUUAACCUAAUUGGAAAGGAUUUUGGUUCUGGUUGAAGGGGAUCGGCGAAGGGAUCUCAGUUCAGUCUAACCACACAGACCUUGGUUAUGGUUAAAGGGGAUCGGAAAAGGGAUGUUAGUUUAACCUAAUUGGAAAGGAUUUUGGUUCUGGUUGAAGGGGAUCGGCGAAGGGAUCUCAAUUCAGUCUAACCACACAGACCUUGGUUAUGGUUAAAGGGGAUCGGCGAAGGGAUCUUAGUUUAACCUAAUUGGAAAGGAUUUUGGUUCUGGUUGAAGGGGAUCGGCGAAGGGAUCUCAGUUCAGUCUAACCACACAGACCUUGGUUAUGGUUAAAGGGGAUCGGCGAAGGGAUCUCAGUUUAACCUAAUUGGAAAGGAUUUUGGUUCUCGUUGAAGGGGAUCGGCGAAGGGAUCUCAGUUCAGUCUAAUCACACAGACCUUGGUUAUAGUUAAAGGGGAUCGGCAAAGGGAUCUUAGUUUAACCUAAUUGGAAAGGAUUUUGGUUCUGGUUGAAGGGGAUCGGCGAAGGGAUCUCAGUUCAGUCUAACCACACAGUCCUUGGUUAUGGUUAAAGGGGAUCGGGGAAGGGAUCUGAGUUUAACCUAAUUGGAAAGAAUUUUGGUUCUGGUUGAAGGGGAUCGGCGAAGGGAUCUUAGUUCAGUCUAACCACAAAGACCUUGGUUAUGGUUAAAAGGGAUCGGCGAAGGGAUCUCAGUUCAGUCUAACCACACAGACCUUGGUUAUGGUUAAAGGGGAUCGGCGAAGGGAUCUCAGUUUAACCUAAUUGGAAAGGAUUUUGGUUCUGGUUGAAGAGGAUCGGCGAAGGGAUCUCAGUUCAGUCUAACCACACAGACCUUGGUUAUGGUUAAAGGGGAUCGGCGAAGGGAUCUCAGUUUAACCUAAUUGGAAAGGAUUUUGGUUCUGGUUGAAGGGGAUCGGCGAAGGGAUCUCAGUUCAGUCUAACCAAACAGACCUAGGUUAUGGUUAAAGGGGAUCGGGGAAGGGGUCUCAGUUUAACCUAAUUGGAAAGGAUUUUGGUUCUGGUUGAAGGGGAUCGGCGAAGGGAUCUCAGUUCAGUCUAACCACACAGACCUUGGUUAUGGUUAAAGGGGAUCGGCGAAGGGAUCUCAGUUUAACCUAAUUGGAAAGGAUUUUGGUUCUCGUUGAAGGGGAUCGGCGAAGGGAUCUCAGUUCAGUCUAAUCACACAGACCUUGGUUAUAGUUAAAGGGGAUCGGCAAAGGGAUCUUAGUUUAACCUAAUUGGAAAGGAUUUUGGUUCUGGUUGAAGGGGAUCGGCGAAGGGAUCUCAGUUCAGUCUAACCACACAGUCCUUGGUUAUGGUUAAAGGGGAUCGGGGAAGGGAUCUGAGUUUAACCUAAUUGGAAAGAAUUUUGGUUCUGGUUGAAGGGGAUCGGCGAAGGGAUCUUAGUUCAGUCUAACCACAAAGACCUUGGUUAUGGUUAAAAGGGAUCGGCGAAGGGAUCUCAGUUCAGUCUAACCACACAGACCUUGGUUAUGGUUAAAGGGGAUCGGCGAAGGGAUCUCAGUUUAACCUAAUUGGAAAGGAUUUUGGUUCUGGUUGAAGAGGAUCGGCGAAGGGAUCUCAGUUCAGUCUAACCACACAGACCUUGGUUAUGGUUAAAGGGGAUCGGCAAAGGGAUCUCAAUUUAACCUAAUUGGAAAGGAUUUUGGUUCUGGUUGAAGGGGAUCGGCGAAGGGAUCUCAGUUCAGUCUAACCACACAGUCCUUGGUUAUGGUUAAAGGGGAUCGGGGAAGGGAUCUGAGUUUAACCUAAUUGGAAAGAAUUUUGGUUCUGGUUGAAGGGGAUCGGUGAAGGGAUCUUAGUUCAGUCUAACCACAAAGACCUUGGUUAUGGUUAAAAGGGAUCGGCGAAGGGAUCUCAGUUCAGUCUAACCACACAGACCUUGGUUAUGGUUAAAGGGGAUCGGCGAAGGGAUCUCAGUUUAACCUAAUUGGAAAGGAUUUUGGUUCUGGUUGAAGAGGAUCGGCGAAGGGAUCUCAGUUCAGUCUAACCACACAGACCUUGGUUAUGGUUAAAGGGGAUCGGCGAAGGGAUCUCAGUUUAACCUAAUUGGAAAGGAUUUUGGUUCUGGUUGAAGGGGAUCGGCGAAGGGAUCUCAGUUCAGUCUAACCAAACAGACCUAGGUUAUGGUUAAAGGGGAUCGGCGAAGGGAUCUCAGUUUAACCUAAUUGGAAAGGAUUUUGGUUCUGGUUGAAGGGGAUCGGCGAAGGGAUCUCAGUUCAGUCUAAUCACACAGACCUUGGUUAUAGUUAAAGGGGAUCGGCAAAGGGAUCUUAGUUUAACCUAAUUGGAAAGGAUUUUGGUUCUGGUUGAAGGGGAUCGGCGAAGGGAUCUCAGUUCAGUCUAACCACACAGUCCUUGGUUAUGGUUAAAGGGGAUCGGCGAAGGGAUCUCAGUUUAACCUAAUUGGAAAGGAUUUUGGUUCUGGUUGAAGGGGAUCGGCGAAGGGAUCUCAGUUCAGUCUAACCACACAGACCUUGGUUAUGGUUAAAGGGGAUCGGUGAAGGGAUCUCAGUUUAACCUAAUUGGAAAGGAUUUUGGUUCUGGUUGAAGGGGAUCGGCGAAGGGAUCUCAGUUUAGUCUAACCACACAGACCUUGGUUAUGGUUAAAGGGGAUCGGCAAAGGGAUCUCAGUUUAACCUAAUUGGAAAGGAUUUUGGUUCUGGUUGAAGGGGAUUGGCGAAGGGAUCUCAGUUCAGUCUAACCACACAGACCUUGGUUAUGGUUAAAGGGGAUAGGCGAAGGGAUCUCAGUUUAACCUAAUUGGAAAGGAUUUUGGUUCUAGUUGAAGGGGAUCGGCGAAGGGAUCUCAGUUCAGUCUAACCACACAGACCUUGGUUAUGGUUAAAGGGGAUCGACGAAGGGAUCUCAGUUCAGUCUAACCACACAGACCUUGGUUAUGGUUAAAGGGGAUCGGCGAAGGGAUCUCAUUUUAACCUAAUUGGAAAGGAUUUUGGUUCUGGUUGAAGGGGAUCGGUGAAGGGAUCUCAGUUCAGUCUAACCACACAGACCUUGGUUAUGGUUAAAGGGGAUCGGCGAAGGGAUCUCAGUUUAACCUAAUUGGAAAGGAUUUUGGUUCUGAUUGAAGGGGAUCGGCGAAGGGAUCUCAGUUCAGUCUAACCACACAGACCUUGGUUAUGGUUAAAGGGGAUCGGUGAAGGGAUCUCAGUUUAACCUAAUUGGAAAGGAUUUUGGUUCUGGUUGAAGGGGAUCGGCGAAGGGAUCUCAGUUCACUCUAACCACACAGACCUUGGUUAUGGUUAAAGGGGAUCAGUGAAGGGAUCUCAGUUUAACCUAAUUGGAAAGGUUUUUGGUUCUGGUUGAAGGGGAUCGGCGAAGGGAUCUCAGUUCAGUCUAACCACACAGACCUUGGUUAUGGUUAAAGGGGAUCGACAAAGGGAUGUCAGUUUAACCUAAUUGGAAAGGAUUUUGGUUCUGGUUGAAGUGGAUCAGCGAAGGGAUCUCAGUUCAGUCUAACCACACAGACCUUGGUUAAGGUUAAAGGGAUCGGCGAAGGGAUCUCAAUUUAACCUAAUUGGAAAGGAUUUUGGUUCUGGUUGAAGGGGAUCGGCGAAGGGAUCUCAGUUCAGUCUAACCACACAGACCUUGGUUAUGGUUAAAGGGAAUCGGUGAAGGGAUCUCAGUUUAACCUAAUUGGAAAGGAUUUUGGUUCUGGUUGAAGGGGAUCGGCGAAAGGAUCUCAGUUCAGUCUAACUAUACAGACCUUGGCUCUGGUUAAAGGGAAUCACUAGAUGGGAUUUCAGGUUAACCGAGCUACACACCGAUUUUUGUUCUUGUUAGAUUGCCAGAUGGGAUCUCAGGUAAACCCAAUCAAAAGGGAAGGUCACCCGUGAAAAUAGACCAGUGUGAGUGUGUGGGCAGGUCGCCCGUGAAAACAGACCUGUGUGAGAGUGUGGGUCGGUCGCCCCUAAAAAUAGACCAGAGUGAGUAUAUGUGGGCAGGUCGUCCGUGAAUAUAGACCAGUGUGAGUGUGUGGGCCGGUCGCCCCUGAAAAUAGACCACUUUGAGUAUGUGUAGGCAGGUCGCCCCUGAAAAUAGACCAGUGUGAGCGUGUGGGCCGGUCGCCCUUGAAAAUAGACCACUUGGAGUGUGUGUGGGCCGGUCGCCCUUGAAAAUAGAUCGGCGUGAGUGUGUGGGCCGAUCGCCCUUUGAAAACAGACCAGUGUUGGUGUGCGGGCAAGUUGCCCAAGAUAAUGUUUUUUUUCUUUUGUUUUCUUUACAAAAGCUUACUAUGCAAAAUUUUGAGGAGUUUUGCUUCGUAAGCAUUGUAAAGAGGGGGCAUUUGUUGCUACCCAUUUUUUGACCCAUGUUUUUUUAUAUAUUUUCAAAAAAUCCAAAAUAGAGAAAAAACAAUGAAAAUCCAAAAAAAAAUGUUUUUUUAAUAUAUUUUUGUCAUUUUAGCAUUUUUAACGUCAUCUAAAAAAAAGAAUUUAAUUUCUCAAAAAUAUUUUCAAACCCGUUCGACUUUUCACGCGUCAUUUUUAAAAUCAUUGAUUUUCCUCAUUGAGUCGACGUUGAUAUUGCUCGUUUUUCAGAAAAAUACAAAAAAAAUGAGAAAAAUCAAAAUUUUCAAAAAGAAAGAAGUUGAGGGACCAAGUUGAAAAACCUAGCAAAAUUUUUCCUAUAAAUACCAUGCUAAACUGAUUUUUAGAGGGGGGGGAAAUUUUGAUCCAUAGGGCUAAUUUUGGAAACACAAAAUACAACAAAAAAAAACCCUAAAAAAAAAACCAUCACAGCUGCCUUCCCCCCUCCCGGUUUUGAACUUUUUUUUGGAAGCCGCCGCCGCACAAUUGACCCUCCUUCUCCCCGACUGGAACUCCCUUUCACUGCCCCCACACCGGAGCCUCCAUUAGGAGCUUUCUCUUCUCCCUCAACCGAUCGGCCAGCCCCACACUCCCCCUUUUGAUUUUUUAUUUUCUUCUUCUUCAACCAGCCACAAUCGAUUUUUUCCCUUCCUCACCGAACCCCACUGACCAGCCGAUUGUUCUCUCCCCUCUCCCAGCCGGUUCCAUCCCCAUCAUCUUCGUUGAUCUCCAACCAACCAGCCAGAGCAGCCUCCUCCGCACCCCCCACUUUCUCCUCUAAUCUUCUCCACCCGGCCAAACGAAAAGAGAAACGGCGCCCCGCCAUCCUUGGAUUUGGGUUUUUCUUCAGCAGAACGAACCAGCCCCGCGGCUCCUCCUCUCCUCCUCUCCUCCUCAAGCCGAACCCAGCGGCAGCCCCUCGCUGUCUUCCUCUUGGCCUUCCCUCAGUCUCAUCGGGCCGCAGCGUUUCCUCCCUCAACAGAGCCCACAGAACCACCGCCAGACCUGCCUUCUCCACCCCACAAACAAAGCCGGCCACCGCAAGAUCUUCAACCGGCCGGCUACCCGUAGUAGAGGGGAAGGCGAGAAAACCUAUUGAAGAGCAGAUCUGCAAUGAAGCAGAUCUAAAGGAGAAGAUAGAGAGAGAUGAGGCAGAUCCGAAAACAGGAAGAAAAAUGCUUAAAAUCAACUGCCAUUGUUGUGUUUUCUUGGAUUUUGCAGGGGACGGGGUCCUCACGGGCAGCAGCAAAGUGAAGAUGGGAGGAAGGCAUUACAGCACCUCCACGCUGUUGGAUUUCAUGGCGGCGCGUGAACCCACGCGCCGCCAGUGGCGGUGGCGCGUGGGCAAACACGCUGCCACUGUUCAGGCAGACCGAUAAUGCUUCCCAAAAUUGUUUUCAGAGCUUUAGGGUUAUUUUUGUAAAUUUUAAAUUAAUUAAUGUAAUUUUUAUUUAUUUGUUUUGAAUUUGUGUUUGUAUUUGUAUUGUGGAUGUAAAAGAAAAGAAAAGAAAAGAAAUAAAAAUAGUGAAAGUGAAUGUGUGUGUUUGUAUUUUGUUUUAUUUAUUUGUUAUAUUUUUUUAUGAUAAAAUUGCAAAUAUAUUAAAGAAGAAUUUAAUAUUUUGAUCAGAUCACGAUUAAGAAUUAUUAACUUAUACGUAAGUGAUAUUUUUAAUUUCCGAUGAAAAGACAAUUAUUAAAACUUCUUUAACCUAUCAAAUUCGCAAAGCAGCUUACCUCAGGUAGGGUAUGUUAGGGGUGCUAAUAUCUUCUCUAACCGCAACCAGUCUCGUACUCGUGAAUCUCUGACAAGACCAGUACAUCCGAUUUCCUAGUAGCCCGUAAUCAAUUACUAGGUGGCGACUCCAACGAACCAAAUUCAAGCAAACGCAAUAAACAAACGAGAAAGAUCGCCAGCCGAUGCCGCGCGUUGAUUUUUUUUGGGGUGCGACACAUGUUUCUACAUAUAUUCUGGGAUUUAAUAACUGAUUUAUUAAAGUCUUAUAAUUUAAUUAAUAUUUUAAAUUUUCAAAUCACAUCAAACCACAAAGCAGCUUAUCUUAGGUAGGGUGUGCUAGGGGUGCUAAUACCUUCCAUAGCCACAACCAGUCCCUUACCCAUAAAUCUCUGAUCACGACCAGUAAAUCUGGGUUUUCUAGUAACCCUUAAUAAAUACUAGGUGGCGACUCUCAAAAAACCAAUCAAGCAAAGACAAUGAAAAAUCACCAAAGCUAAAUCGCCGCGCGGAUUUUUUGACGUGAGACAAAUGCUGUGAUUUUAUUUUUGGUCUACAGGGUGGUGGUGCCAUUUGUGUUUGGAGGAAGAGAGAAUUGCUCCAUUGGAAAUAAAAAAUUUCCUUUUACCUACCCCUUCCAAUCCCCAUGACGCAUUUAUGCACAAAUCUUCCAAUUCCCAACCCCUUGUUGACGAAAGAUCGAGUGUGUUGAUUCGUCUUGUAGUAUAAAGAGCUGCUUGUACAAAGCCGGCGGUAUAUUUGUAUACAACCAAAAUUCCUCUAACCACCCAAACAGCGGCGAACACCUGCAAUCUUGGGGAAAAGAAGCCGGCAGUUGUAAUUGGGAAGGUAUUUCCAAUGGAGCAAUUCUCUCUUCCACCAAACACAAAUGAAACCUGGUAAUAAAACCAUGAAGAUCAGCUUCAUCACUACUACAGAGAACCUGCUUAACCCAUUUGAAAUACUUGAUGAAUUAAAUUGUAUACCGCUGGCUCUUUAUAGGAGGAGAGCGCAGUACAGUACCCUACAACCAUCGACGUUGCGCGUUCAUCAUUUCAUUCCACGCUAUCGACCAUGUGGUUUGGAUGGAAUUGGUCGUCGUCAUCACAUGAUUUUCCACACAUAAUAAAGUCUUCUUUAUUUGGCUUAUUGUCCCAUUGAUUCUUCGAGGAAAUUCCCAAGUUUUAGCAUUACAUCAUGCAUAGUGCCAGGAAAUUCCGUCAUCAUGCAUAGUGCCAGCAGGAAGAUCAUCAAUUCAAUGGUCGGCAACACAGCAGAAAGAUCAUCAUGCAUAGUGCCAGGAAAUUCCGUCAUCAUGCAUAUCGCCCCCCUCUGUGACGUUCCUUUUACUUUUCACUUUGCCUUGGAAUGACAAUAAAAAAUAUCGGAAUAUCGAGAUUUAAUCUUGUAUUACUAAUUUUAUUUUUUUUAUUAGAUCAUAAAAUGACUUUCUUAAAUUACUUAUAAGAAAAGCGAUUACCUCCCAAAUCAAGAUACUCCAAAUUGCUCAGUUUCAGCACUUCAUCCUCACCACCUGUAAGAAAUAAUUGUACAAGGUUUGAUGUAAAAAUAGCGAAACAGUGAAAAGAUAAUGCAUAACUCAAAAAUCUUUCGUACCAUGAAGGGAUUUAAACCCUUCAAUGUGAUUGCUCUCAAUACGCAGAUUCCUUAAGUUUGUCAGAUUAUUCAAUCCUGGCAAUACGUAGAACAUAAAUGAAUGCUAUAUAUAAUUGCUUUGGAAUCAUGAUUGUGUUUGAGACACUUAGUUUAAAAACUGAGAUGAGAAGAGCCAGGCUCACCUUCCACGCUAAUUGUUCCUUCGAUUUCAUUAUUGUGUAGAAAUAAAUAUUUCAAAGAUGAAAGACCACUUAAGGAUGAAAAGAUGCUGCUGUUGAAUUUGUUUUGCCCUAACUGGAGUAUCUCCAAAUUGCCAAGGACUGAUAGUCUUUCAAAACCUGCAUGAGAGUGCAUGGUUAGCGUUUAAGCAUUAAAGUUAUAAAACUUGUAUCAAUUUCUAAAAUUGCAGCUAAGAGGCAAACCUUCAUUCUCAACACAUCCUGCAAUACGAUUUCCAUACAAGUAAAGAGCGUUCAGCUCUGGGAAUGGAAGAAACAAAGACGCAUUCAGGAGCCAGUCUCCCAGCUCCCAACCCCUUGAGAAAGAAAGGUCUAUUUCGACAACUCGAAGUGUGCUGGAGUUGCAGUGGACUUGUUUCCAUUCGCAGCAGUACUUAGAAUAUCUUCGCCAGGAGAGCAGGAAUCCGCCAUUUGGGUAACUAAAGGCAUCUUUGAUUUGCAAGAGAGCAAGUCUUUCUUCCUCCAAGCAACCAUGGCACCGCCACCCUUGUAUUAAAACCAAAUUUAUAAUCAUUAUCACUGCUAAACACAGCCUGUUCAACUCCAUUCGAAGAACUUUGCUAUUAGUAAAUUCUCAGAAAAAAAAUACAAAAUACACCUCUGUCGCCAUAGAAAGUAACUGUCAGAGGUUCUCUUAUAGGAUAGGAUAGCGCAAAGCUUACGUUUUUACAAGACCACGGUGUAGAGAAAUUAACGAGAAUCACUCCGCGUAAUGUUCAACAGAUUUUCUUUUAUUGUUUAUUUUUAUUUUUACUUUCAAGUACGUAUGCAUAAGAUCUACUUUGUUUGACUUCUCAUUUAUUGGUUUCAGACUUGGCAGCGUUUUCUUUAAGAAAAAGAGGAGAAAUUAGAUAUAUGCCCUGUUACUGCUGCAUUUACUGUGGUGCGUGCCUCAACUGGACUGUACAUAGUUCAAUUAAUUACAAAAAUUGAAACAAAAGGGACAAGAUUUUAACACUCAAAAAAAAAACAGCUUUUUCUAUUGUUCAUCGGACAUGGAAUACUAUAGUUUUAUCCUUGAAAUUUUUAUUAUUUGUUUUCUAUGUUUUGAAUGUUUCUUGUUUCAUUUGUAAACUUUAUUUGUUUUUAAUAAAAAGAAAGUCAUUGAAAAAAAAUAAAAAGAAAUGAUUGAUUAGCUAUAUUUUAGCCAUAAAAAAAAAUUAAUUUUGAUGUUAAUAAGUUCGUAUUGAAUAAAACAAUUUAAUAGAGAUAAUAGUGUUUUUAUUUUAAAAUUACAACAAUAAUGCUUCUCAUAAAAUAAAAAAAAUAUACAUGAUUUCAUCAAAAUAAAAAUAAAAUGUUUGAAUAAAAAAAUUAGAUUUUGAUUAAAAAUAUGUUUUUUUUUCUUUUUUAGUUAAGGAUAAAUGUUGUUUUUCUGAAUAUUUCCUUGAUUGUUGUUUCUUUUUAUUUAAUAAACUAUACCGCUAAUAAAAGAUUAUUUUGUUGUAAAAAAAUCAUUCCAAUAAAAAAAAAAAUUAACAAAGAGAUCCGGUGUUUCCUUAUGAAGGGCCCAAACCCCAUGUGCAAAGUCAAUCCUGGAGCAUCCUUUUCUUAUCUAUGAUUGAAGCUCUACGCCUUGACUCGAAGUCAUCAUCAGGUCAAGCGAUGAAUGAAUGCAGCUACCUUCUUCUUCUUCGUCAUAGCGUGUAAUUUUCCACAACCACUAACAAGACUGACAGCCACUGCAUUAUUCUCGGCCGUAGGGAACACGUCGCUUGCGAUGACCAGUUCAUCUGUCUCUUGUAAAAAGUAAAGAGUAUAGCUUGUUGGCAAAUUGGUCUCUCUGUUAUAUUAUAAAUUUCAUGAUACUUAACCUGCUAAUUUCAAAUCCCAUACCUCUAAGUUUUAGAAUAGUGUGUUAUUAUUUGGGUUGUUGUUUUUUAUUUGAAAAUAUAUUAAAUAAUAUUAUUUUUUAAUAUUAAUAUAUCAAAACGAUUUAAAAUUAAAAAAAAACUUGAAAUCAAGAAAAAAUAAAAUAAAAAUAUAUUUAAAAAAACUUUUAAAAUUAAUGCAAAAACAAAAGCCACGGUCACAGCUUUUUUAAAAUUUUAUUAUGAAUGGGUUCAAGUUUGACUAAACUAAUGUUUCAUACCGUCCAAUAACAAAUCUAACACUAAUAUAAUGGGAUUUCAAAGUGAACAGAUCAAACUAGGUUUCACAUCUAUGAAAAAUAACCUACUAAGAAAAUUCACAAAAACUAUAAAUAAAUAAACAAAUAACUGAUUAGUUUCUGCUGACUGGAUCAUGUUUAGACUACUAGGAACAAGCUUUCUUCAUAAGAGUGGAAAUCUGAAAUCUUAAAGUGUGUAUUUAACCAUUUGAAUCUCCCACAAAAAAAGUUUAUCUUUUUUGACCUGUUACUGAAAGCAUUCAGUUGUCUAUUUCUCUUUGAAUUUUAGUUGUGUACGCGUUAUGUCAUUUUCUACAAACACUUAUUUCAUAGUGUAAUUAUAAAUGUUUUUUAAAUAAUUUUUUCUAUCAUUAUUUUGUUAUCUUUGUUGAUGCUUAUACUAAAUAUGUAUGGUAUUAUCCUCUCGUUGCCAAGUCUGAUGUUUACUCUGUUUUUUUAUCAAUUUCAGACUCUUGUCAAAUGUUAAUUUUCAUUAAAAAUUAAAUCUGUUCAAACUGAUUGGGCAGUGAAUACCGAAAACUAUCCAUAUUUUUUCAGACCAUUGGUAUUCAUCAUCGUCUGAUUUGUCCCCACACUCAUGAACAAAAUGGAAUAGUAGAGCGUCGUCAUAGGCAUAUUGUGGAAACAGGUCUUACUCUUUUAUGGCAAUGUAAAACACCUUUUCGAUUAUGUAAUUAUGCUUUUGAAACCUUUAUUUAUCUUAUAAAUCACAUGCCUACUCCUGUUCUUGCCCAUCGCUCUCCAUUUGAUUGUUUAUUUCAAUGGUCUCCUGAUUAUCAUUUUUUGCAUACCUUUGGGUGUCUCUGUUUUUCUUUUUUGCGUCCAUAUAAUAAUCAUAAAUUGGAUUUUCGUUCCUCUCCAUGUGUGUUUUUUGGAUAUAGUUCCUCGCAUCUUGGUUAUCGAUGUCUUGACAUUGCAUCUCACCGUAUUUAUAUUUCGUCAUGUCCGCUUCCAUGAACAUGUGUUUCCAUUUGAUAAUUCUAAACAGAUUGCAAAGGUCUCCACCACAACCCCCACCCACCCACUACUGUCACCCUCCCAAAUUUGCUAAACCACCCACCACCACCCACUUUUACCAACCACCUAAACAGCCUAUAGCACUCGGCUCUUCAACUCCAAAUAGCCACCCGACCACAACCCCCACCCAUCCUUUGGCCAUCAUCCCAUGCUUGUUUAUCUAACCCUUAUGAUGCUGGUUCAAAUCGUCAAUUACUCUCAUCUUCUCAUGGUCUUGGGGCACUUUCUAGUCCCUUCUCUACUUUGCCCUCCUUGACCAGCAUUCCUGCAGCUUCAGUCUCUACUUCCAGCCCCUCCUCUGCUGACAGUCCUGUGCUUGAGGCUGCUUCUUUAUCAUCCUCUCCCGUGGUCUGCAACUUAUGGUUGAUUUGUCUUCUUAUCAGCUGCCACAGGUCUCCUCGCUACAACCGUCUUCCCCUGCGUCUCCACCAGCACACAGCAGACAUCCUAUGACUCUUAGACCGGGCAGCCGAAGACAGCUAAUCUGGUUGCUUCCGCUGCCGUACUUCUACCUCCACACGGGUACUGUAUUCUCCCUCUUCUGAGCCUUUUGCAUUCUCUGAUGCUGACCGGUAUGCAGUUUGGCAUAAUGCUAUGUGUGAUGAGAUCGCCGCUUUACGCGAAAAUCGCACUUGGUCUUUGGUUCCAUUUCAUCCUUCGAUGAACGUUGUUGGCAGUAGAUGGGUAUAUCGGAUCAAACGUCGUGUUGAUGGUAGUAUUGAGCGCUAUAAAGCGCGCCUUGUUGCUAGAGGUUUUACCCAGCAGGAAGGUAUUGAUUAUUCUGAAACCUUCAGUCCAGUUAUUAAGCAGGCCACUGUCCGAUUGGUUUUCUCUAUCGCGGUUUCGCGAAAUUGGAAGAUUCAUCAGCUUGAUAUUCAUAAUGCCUUCCUCAAUGGUGUUCUUACUGAAGAGGUCUACAUGAAACAGCCUCCAGGUUUCGUUGACUCUUCUCUCUCAUGUGUGCAGAUUGCACAAAUCAUUGUAUGGUUUGAAACAGGCACCGAGAGCAUGGUACACUCGUCUAAGUGAUUUUUUGCUCUCCAUCGGUUUCCGAGCUUCCAAGGUUGACACCUCCCUGUUUAUCUUAUCUGAUGGUACUAAUAUCUUUUAUCUCCUGGUGUAUGUUGAUGAUAUUCUGCUCACGGGUAGCAACUCUGCUAUGCUCCAUCACCUUAUACAGUUACUCAGCUCUGAGUUCAAGCUUCGUGACUUAGGUGUUGUUCACUACUUUCUGGGUAUUGAAGUUCAGUCUACCAGUAUGGGUUUAAUGUUGCGUCAACAUAAAUAUAUUCUUGACAUCCUCACCCGAGCUGGUAUGACUUCCUGCAAACCAGUUGAUACUCCAGUCUCCCCUUCGAAAGUCAUUUUAUUACCAUCAUUCAUUCUCUGAUCCUACACGAUUUCGUCAAAUCGUGGGUGCUCUUCAAUAUCUUACCUUCACCCGUCCAGAUAUAUGCUUUGCUGUUAACAGAGUCUGUCAGUUUAUGCAUGCUCCUACAGAUUCUCAUUGGGCCGCUGUCAAACGUAUUUUACGCUAUCUUAAAGGUACGACAUCUUAUGGUUUCCAUAUCACUCGAGGCUCCUCUUUUGCUCUACAUGGCUUUACAGAUGCAGAUUGGGCUGGUAGUAUUGAUGAUCGCAAGUCUACGGGCGGCUAUCUUGUCUUUUUUGGUCAGACGCCGAUUUCUUGGAAAUCCGGCAAGCAACGCACUGUUGCUCGCUCCUCUACUGAGGUUGAGUAUAAAGCCCUUGUUGAUGGUACCCCUAAAUUCAUUUGGCUUCAAUACUUGUUAACAGAUUUGCAGGUUCCCUCAGUCUCUGCUCCUACCAUUUAGUAUGAUAAUCUUGGUGUUGCUACCUAUCUCUCAGCAAAUCCUAUCUUCCAUGCUCGUACUAAGCAUGUUGAAGUGGAUAAUCACUUUGUCCGUGAUCGUGUUGCCAAGAAAGAAAUUUAGAUUCGUUUUGUUCCCUCUCGAGAUCAACUUGCCUAUCUCUUCACUAAACCGCUUCUUGUUGCAUCCUUUACUGCUUUUCAGUUCAAGCUCCGGGUUGAUCCUCCAUCCUCAACUUGAGGGGGCAUAUUAUAGAAUAGAAAAUUAAUAUAGGAUGUUGUAAUCAUUACAGUUACUCAUGUAUCUAUCAUAAUAGGAAAUUAAUAUAGGAUGUUGUAAUCAUUACAGUUACUGCAGUGUUCUGUUGCCUCUAUAUAAAUAAAAAGGUUGGCUAAGGCACAACCCAACACAUUACAUUAUUCUCAACUCUAUUGAACUCCACAUUGCAUGCACAUUCUUUGGUUUUGAUCUCUUGUUUUUCCUCUAUUUUUGGCUUGGAUUUUUACCUUUAUCUCUCACAUUUUUAGAAAUGAGUGAAAGGUCUCGUCCUCUUUAAAAAAUGAAACAACUUUUCUAGUUGAGAUCUCCUCCUAGUAAGGUAUAUGAUGAUGAAAAGUGAUGCAUAUAUAACCUUUAAAUUUGGUUUUUGCUAAGCCGAAUAGGAAGUGGAAGUUUUAGUUUGCUUUUACUAAAGGGUAGUAAAAGCCGUCUUAAAAGUUAAUACUCGAGAAUUUUCAAGGCACCACAAGGAGACCUGAGAAAAGCUUUGCUGCCUCGUUAUCAUAUAUAUAGCCUGCCAGGUGACCUGAGAAAAGCUUGUUGGCAAAUUGGUCUCUCUGUUUUUUUUUUUAAAUACAAAAACAAAUAAAAAGACGAUGUAGCUAAGUUAGAAUUGACAUUGGUAGGAUUUGAGAAUUUCUUGAUAAAUAACCUUCUCAAGUUUCACCUAACCCAUAAUCCAGGAUUUGCUCCAGAUCAACCUUGGAUAGGGUUCAAAAACCAUGGUGAAAAGUAAAAGGAACGUAACAGAGAGACGAGAGUCAUGUGUGUUACCAGCCAUUGAAUUAAUAUUGAUGUAAAGCAAAAACUUGGGAAUUUCCUCGAAGAAUCAAUGGGAUAAUAAGCCAAAUAAAGAAGACUUUAUUACAUAUGGAAAAUCAUGUGAUGACGACGACCAAUUCCAUCCAAACCACAGGAUCGAUAGCGUGGAAUUGAAUUCCAGUGCCAUACAAGUGGGCUGUUUAAUACAAUUCAUGAACGAACACUUUCUCAACUUUUUCAAUGUAAAAGACAACAGUAAAUUAAAUCGAUCUGCUACUACAGCAACAACAAUCAUAAGAUCAAGUGUGUUGAUUCGUCUUAUAGUAUAAAGAGCAGCUUGUACAAAGCCACUGGUAUACAAUUUAAUUCAUCAAGUAUUUCAAAUGGGUUAAGCAGGUUCUCUAUAGUAGUGAUAAAGCUGAUCUUCAUGGUUUUAUUACUAGGGUGGUGGUGUCAUUUGUGUUUGGAGGAAGAGAGAAGUGCUCCACUGGAAUAAUUGACAAAGUGAUCCUGGAGCAUCCUUUUCUUAUCUAUGAUUGAAGCUCUACGCCUUGACUCGAAGUCAGCUGAGGAAAUCUAAACCAUCUUUUUUUCAGCAGACUUUUUAGAUGGUUCUUGAUACACAUGACGAAGAACACGCAAUCAUCCGUUUAUAAACGCCAAGAUAGUAAAAUGUGUUUUCCAUAGGAGGAAAAAGCCUUGCGGGCACAUCGUGGCUGGCAAUUUUGACCACUGUUAACAGCUUUCUUUUCUUUUUGUCUUAGCAGGUGGCCCAUCGAGCCAUCAUCAGGUCAAGCGAUGAAUGAAUGCUGUAACCUUCUUCUUCAUCAUAGCGUGUAAUUUUCCACAACCACUAACAAGGCUGACAGCCACUGCAUUAUUUUCGGCCGUAGGGAGCACGUGGCGCGCGAUGACCAAUUCAUCUGUCUCUUGUAAAAAGUAAGAGUAAAAUGCAAGAUUUUUCAAGGUGUUCUUCAGCGGUCCCCAGAUCUUGGGGUCGGGGUUUCAUCAAUCAACCUGUGGGUUGUAUUAUAAUAGCUUGUUGGCAAAUUGGUCUCUCUGUUAUUUUUUUUAAAUGUAAAAACAAACAUGCUCUUGAUAGCCACGGUGAAUGCUUUUUAAAAUUUUUAUUAUGAAUGGGUUCUAGUUUGACUAAACUAAUGUUUCAUACCGUCCAAUAACAAAUCUAACACUAAUAUAAUGGGACUUCAAAGUGAAUAUAUCAGAUCAAACUAGGUUUCACAUCUAUGAAAAAUAACCUACUAAGAAAAUUCACAAAAACUAUAAAUAAAUAAACAAAUAACUGAUUAGUUUCUGCUGACUGGAUCAUGUUUAGACUACUAGGAACAAGCUUUCUUCAUAAGAGUGGAAAUCUGAAAUCUUCAAGUGUGUAUUUAAACCAUUUGAAUCUCCCACGAUUUGUCCUGAGCUUCUGGACCUAGCUAGUCCCAUCAUGAACUCUGCUGUUUCUUUCAUUCCUAGCUCCAUAUACAGUUGAGUGGCAGAGAUAAUUGUAUAAUAGCUAUAGAUUUUAAAAUCAGGAAAAUGAUGAGAAUUGCACACAUUCUUCAAGUGGUAUAUAUAGGUAGCAUUAUGUUUAAUUUGAAUUCAAAAAACAGAUGGAAUCUAUUCUGUUUUGAUUCAAAUAAAAAAUUGAAAGAAAUAUAAGCUAGCAUAAAUUUCAAAAUAACAACUGGCAAAUAAGUCUCGGAAGCAAAAUAUUCUGGAGAUUUAACAUUGUCCCAUGAAUUUCAGCUUGUCAAUCACCCACAUGUCUGCAAAUUCCACACAUCUGCAACCGAAAUCUCCAAAUUGCACGAGAGAAUUGCACCAUUGGAAAGGUACAAAACUCUAUUUUUCUUGCAAAUAUAGCUGCUAGUUGCUACUGGGCCCCACAAGGUUCAUCAAAGCACACAACAAAAAUCAACCAUUGUUGUCUUGUCCAUGCCUUUGGGUCCUGGAACUCGUUUCUCUUUCAAACAUGAGAAAGUAAGUAGUUUUAACAAAUCCUCAAGUCUAAGGAAGGGGGGGACUAUAUGACUAGUAAAGGAACUAAUCUACAAAGCAUAAUGAAAAGAAAUGAUUCGUUCUGUUGCAGCCUUGUUAAAUUGAAAAAAAAUUAUUGUUUUUUUUUAUUUGAUAAGUUAAUAUUAAAAAUUUUAAAAAAUAUUUUAAUAUAUUUUCAAGUAAAAAAUAUUUACACCAUAAUAUCAUACAUUCAUUUUAUAUUAAAAUACAAUAUUAAUUAACUAAUUAUACUAUUAUUAUUAAAUUCAAUUUGACUCAAGAUCAUAUUAUUUUAAAUUUAUUGUUUUUUUAUUAUUUGAUAAGUUAAUAUUGAAAAUAUAAAAAAUUAAAAAAUAUAUUUUUAAGUAAAACAAAUUUACAUCAUAAUAUCAAAUAUGCAUUUUAUAUAAAAAUACAAUAUUAACUAUCUGAUUAUAUUAUUAUUAUUAUUAUUAUUAUUAAAUUCAAUUCGGCUCAACAUCAUAUUAUUUUAAUACCUAUUUCAUACUGAACUUUUAUAUAUAUAUAUAUAUAUAUAUAUAUAUAUAUAUAUAUAUAUAUAAAGGCAUCGUUUAUUUGCUGGAAAAUAGUUUUCUUUUGAAAAGUGAAUUCUGAGAAAGUAUUUCCCAAUGUUUGGUAGUGUGAUAGAAAAUAAGUUGAAAAACACUUUCCAGUGUUUGGUUAUGUUAUGAAAAAUGAGCUGGAAAAUAACUUAUUAAUAUUUUAUUUUUCUUAAAUUUAUUAAAAUAACGAUGAACAAAUCUUACAAAUUAAAAUGUUGAAUGAGAAUAAAAUUGAAAAAAAUAUAAUUUCAUAAAUUAUCUCAAAUAAAAUAAAUAAUAAUCAAAAUAAUAAAGAUCAAAUCCAUAAAAAAAAAAAAUGGAAGAUGAAGAAAUUAAAAUAAUAAUAAUUAACAUUUCAUAAAUUAUUUCAAAUAAAAUAAGUAACAAUCAAAAGAAUGAGGACCAAAUUUGAUAGAUAAAAAACUUUAAUUAAAAAAUGAUAAGGAAAAAUCAAAUAGUAAUUAUAAAAAUGAGGACCAAAGUUAAUAUAAAAAUUAAAUUAUAAGGGAUGAAAUUGAAAAACAAAUAUUCAAAACAAAAUAUAUAUAGCAAUCAAAAGUUUGAGGACCAAAUUUGAUAUAAUUAGCAAAUAAUAUGAUAUUUUUAAAUUUUUCACAACUUCCAGAAAGUGUUUUCCAUCCAAAAUAAAAAGAAAACACUUUCCUAAAAACCAAGUUAAAUUUUUCUUUAACGGGAAAGUGUUUUUUUAUUAACCAAAAAGUGUUUUUUAUUGACUAACUUUUCUAAUAACAAAUAAAUAUAAAAACUUUUAAAAAAUAAUUUCUCAAAAAUAAUUUUAUAAAUUAAAGAAACGAUUAGUGAAACCUAAAUGAUUAAAAAUCUUCACUGCAGCUUUUGGUCCACAAAGCAAAGUUGUUAAUACCGUUCCGUUUCGGCCGGAAUGCCCGGAACAUCUCGUACCAGUUAAAAAAACGAAAUAAAACGGAACAAGUUUCACCUCGCUUAAAAUCUCGGGUUGAUCCGGAAAUUCCGGUCAAAUUUCGGCCGGAACGUUCCGGCCGAAAUCCAGGUGUUCCGUUUCGGGUUAAAGCCAUCGAGUCAAAGACUCGAAAUUAAACUCGGUUUCUUUUUAUUAACUGCACAGUACACCCAGAGUUAAGGUGCGAUCUCUUUUCUCUUUUCUCUGUUCAAGUUCAAUAAACUAUAAAAACGUCCUUCCAGCACUGACCCUUUGUGCAGAUAAAUUAUUCUCCUUCAAAGAUACUACUUUUACAUAAUGGUAUCGUCAUCGAUCAUGUAAUUUGUACUUGUUUAUCAUGGGUCAAAAAAUAAUACUCUAGUGCUUGUCGUUUCUUGGACAAUUAGCAAUAUUAAUCUCCAAAUGGGAGGAUGAUGACACACUAAUUUCAAAUUGCAAAGCCUCUGAUCCUUGUCGUUUUAAUUUGAAACUUUGAAAAUAAAUAAAUAAAGUUCUUGAUUGUUAACCACGCCAAAGCUUUGAAUUCUACACAUAGCAGGCAGAAUUAUGUUCUUUAAUUACACACAAGAAAGUUCCUAAUUAUUGUCAUCUCAUUGUCAGUGGCAGUGAUUAAUUAAUUUGUUGUGGUAUUGAACAACUUCAAAAUUAUAUUUAAUUUUGACUAUUUAGAAAUAUUUUAAAUUUUAAAAUUAUGCUGCUUGACAUUAUGUUUGUACUUUGUAAUGCAUAAUUUAUCUUGAAUUUGAAUUAUAUUUGUUGAAUAUAUAUAUAUAUGAACAGUAUAACUCCGAAACGGCACGCCGAAACGCUUCGAAAUCGAAAUAUUCCGUUUCAAUUAAAAAAACAAAACACCUACCAAAACAGAAUUGACAACCUUACCACAAAGCGAAGGAUUUCACUCGUAGCUAGACUCUUUGAAUUUUCUACUACGUAUCAUUAACACGACUGACACUGAUGGCACUGUUAAAGUUUAUCAUGUAUAUUCUCCCCUUUGUACCCAUCAUAUUUAUUAUUUAUUAUUAAAUUAAAGUUAAAAUAGCAACUUGUUUAUGUGUGGUUGAGACGACUUACGUGGCUUAAUUUGACACGGAAUCUCAAGACUGACUCUUUGAAUUUUCUACUACCAUUAACAUAGACUGACACUUGGGUCAUGACCAGAGAGGUUGCAUUCGUCACUGAAAACAUUCAUUUGUCUUUUUUUUCUUUGAAUUUUAAUUGCGUACGCGUUAUGUCAUUUUCUACAAGCACGAGCUUGAUUGAUAAUAUAAUUAUAAUUUUUUUUUAAAUAUAUAUUAAUAAUUUUUUAAUUUUUUUAAAAUUUAUUUUUAAUAUCAAUAUAAUAAAAUAAUUUAAAACGUUAAAAAUAUAUUAAUUUAAAGUAAAUAAAAAAAUAAAAAAAUUAUUUUUUUUUAAAAAUACUUUUAAAAUAUAAUAUAAAAAUAACUAAUACCGAUGGAGCACUAUCUUUGCCGUAGGGAAGACAUUGCAUGGAAAAACCAUUUAAUUUGUCUAUUUCUCUAUUAUUGUAGAAAACAAAAAAAGUAAAAAAAUAUUCACACGCAAAAUAAUAUACCGUAAAACAUUAUUUUUUUCUAUAUGUUCCGGGUUUUCGUAUCACAAUACAAACUCAUUCAUAUCCAGCCAUAAGAAGAGGAAUUGCUCAGAAAAAUUCUGAUAUAAAAUUUAAAUGAAUUAUUUGUGCGUUUCUCUUGAAAACAACCCAAUUUAUAAGAUAAGAUAUAGUCUUUGAAAAAAAAAAUUAAAGGUGUUGAUGGAUAAAGCAGGGGUUAAGUGGGUUCAAUGUGAGUUUGGAGAAUUGGAGGAGAUAGUCACCACCCUCUAUAAAUUUUUUGAUUGAGAGAACUUUAAUUAUCACAUAAAUAAUUUUAUUUAUAUACCCUUUUUGAAAAACUUAUUAAAACUUUUCCCCUAGAUCUAUGAUCUAUUUCUAGUUUGCCAUUAUAUGGGUUUAAAUUGGUAAGAAAAUAAAAUCAUAGAGGGGUAAAAAUCUUAGCAAGAUCCAUACUAAAUUUCUGCAAUUCUAAAAUUGUUUAAAAACAUAAAUAAGCCAUAAAUGGGUUGUAAUUUUCGCCAAAUGAUAUGGAUUUUUAAUUUUUGGAAUAUAAUAAAUCUAGAAAAGAGGACAGUUUCAAGAAGGGCUAUUUAUUAUAAACAUGAAGGGCUAAACUAAACUAACACUAAACUAUGAGGGUUUCCUUAAACUGUUAAAGAAAUUAAUCUAACAGUAAUAUAAUGGGAAUAUAUGACUAGUAAAGGAACUAAUCUACAAAGCAUAAAUGAAAAGAAAUGAUUCGUUCUGUUGCAACUUUGCUCGGUAGAAACGUUGGAAAAAAAAGCGGAGCUGGGCUGCAAGGACAAAGUUGCAGUCUUGUUAAAUUGAAAACAUUUUAUUGCUUUUUUUAUUAUUUGAUAAGUUAAUGUUAAAAAUUUUAAACAAUAUUUUAAUAUGUUUUCAAGUAAAAAAUUUUACACCAUAAUAUCAUACAUUUAUUUUAUAUUAAAAUACAAUAUUAAUUAACUAAUUAUACCAUUAUUAUUAAAUUCAAUUUGACUCAAGAUCAUAUUAUUUUAAUUUUUAUUGUUUUUUAUUAUUUGAUAAGUUAGUAUUGAAAAUAUAAAAAAUUAAAAAAAUAUUUUAAUAUAUUUUUAAGUAAAAAACAUUUACAUCAUAAUAUCAAACAUGCAUUUUAUAUUAAAAUACAAUAUUAACUAGCUGAUUAUAUUAUUAUUAUUAUUAUUAUUAUUAUUAUUAUUAAAUUUAAUUUGGCUCAACAUCAUAUUAUUUUAAUACCUAUUUCAGACUGAACGUUUAUAAAAAAAAUAUAUAUAAAAAAUUAAAGAAACGAUUAGUGAAACCUAAAUGAUUAAAAAUCUUCACUGCAAGACUCUUUGAAUUUUCAACUACCAUUAACAAGACUGACACUGAUGGCACUGUUUUUGCCGUAGGGAAGACAUUGCAUGCGAUGACCAUUUCAUUUGUCUAUUUCACUAUUAUUGUAGAAAAAUCCUUUGUACCCAUCAUAUUUAUCAUUUAUAAUUAAAUUAAAGUUAAAUAAAAACAUUAUUAGACUGAUAUUGAUGGCGCACUGUCUUUGCCGUAGGGAAGACAUUGCAUGGAAAGACCAUUUCAUUUGUCUAUUUGUCUAUUAUCAGUGAAUUUUAACCGGGUCAACAACUAGUUAAAUCACCCGGAAUUUUAACUUCCCCUGUUUAUUUAAAAUCCUUCCAACCUCAUAUCAGCCUAGUCCCAAGUCCCGCGGUGGGGCCGUAUUUCAGAACUACGGAGGAAACGCUAACAGCCUAGCACUUUCCACGAAGAAUAUGAAUUUGGAAAAUAAGCCGAAAGAGAGGACUUUGUCUAUGGCCCGUGGAAAAUUAUGACAUUUGAUUGUGAUAUUGCAAAUUGCAGUCCAACGAUCUUAUUUAUAAAGAGCCUCUGACCGUUGUUUUUCGAUACAUAAUUUCAUCGAGGAGUCCAAAUGGGUUUAAACAGGUUCUCUUCUUUAGCAGGGACACUGAUGAUUUAUGCUAUGGUUUUGUCAGAAAGCUGGUGGUCAUGUCACGGGUGUUUAGACGAAGAGAGAAGUGCUCUCUUGGAUUAAAGCUCCUUUAAUUACCAAUCUUCCUUCAAUCUUGGGGAAAAGUAGCCGACUGUUGUUCUUGGAAAGGCGUUGACUGCAAUCUCACUACAGGACGAGUUGUCGUACUUGAUCUUUCAGGCAAAAGGGAAGAGGGAUUGGGAGAUUUGUACCUAAAUGUCUCUUUGUUUCGUCCCUUCCAAGAACUGCAACAUCUUGAUUUGAGUGGAAAUUUUAUAGUUGGCUGUGUUGAGAAUGAAGGUUUAUCUCUUGUUUGCGUGCUACUGCAAUUUCAACAGCAAAAAAAAAGAAGAAUAGAUUCUAUAUUCUUCAAGCUACUGAUUGAAAUGCCCAUGCAGGUUUUGAAAGACUAUCCGGACUUGACAGCUUGGUGUUUCUCAAUUUAGGCGUAAACAAAUUCGACAACAGCAUCCUUUCAUCCCUUGGUGGGCUCUCCUCUUUGACAACCCUGUAUCUAGUCGGUAACCAACUCAAAGGAGCAAUUAGUGUUGAUGGUAAUUAAGCUUGAUCACUUCUCUCCUUUUCUUUCCCAAAUAAAACCAUGUUAAUUACUGCCCUUUUUUUAAUUGUUGUACUUGGUACAAUUAUAUGUGGCCAGAACUAAAUAAUCUAACAAGCUUGCGGUCGUUGGAGUUUGGUGGCAAUGAAAUUGAAAGCUUUAAAUCCAUUCAUGGUAUGAAAGAGUUGUGAGUUGAUUGAGCAUUUGUUUUCACACAUAAGUACUCCAUUAUCCUUUCAGGUUACAUGAAAGCUUAUGGUAUUUUUAUAGGUACUGGUGACGACUUACUGAGGUUAAGAAAUCUGGAACAACUUGUUUUGAAUGUUAAUCGCUUCAAUGAUAGUGCCUUAUCAUCCCUCAAGGGUCUUUCAUCUCUCAAAUCCCUGGAUAUAGCGUACAACCAACUGAAAGGAUCAUUGAAUGUGACUGGUAACCUCAUCUUUUUCGAUUCCUAGAAACCAAUCUGUGAUUUUUGCUGUGAUGUAAUAUUAAAUUUCUGUUUUUCGACAACCUAGAGCUGGAUGCUUUGAUCAACUUAGAGAGAGUGGAUCUAGCAGGAAACGAGAUUGACAAAUUUGUGUUAUCCAAAGGUAUUGAUUGCUUUCCACACUGAUUGAUGGUAGCUUUACCUCUUGAUCAACCUAAAAUCUCAUUAAUUGAAUUGUAUUUUCGAGGAUGAUUUUGCUCUAGAAUAUAAGCUCAGAAGGUCUUAAAACUUGUUUAACUUCUGCUGUCCCCUACAGAUACUAGAGGUUUUGGAAAUGUAAGCUUCAUUUCAUUAUCUAAUAGCACCUCAAAUGGAAGAGCUCUUCCAUUUACAUUACUGCAAUCAUUGACGAAAUUCCCAAACCUCAGGACCCUUUCUUUGGCUGAGAAUAAUCUUGAAGGAAGUUUCGGAACAACAUUAGAUAAAGGUAAUUUGUGGUAUUGAUGCCUAAAAGCGAUCCUGAAUAUCUGUUAAUUGCUCUUUUUUUCUUUGUAAACGUGCUUUAAAUCAUAUUUUCCUAGUUAUAGGAAUUUAAUUGAUUGUAGCGGGGACAUUAUAAUGGAGCUUCUUGUUGGUUUCAUCAUCUUGUUUCCUUAUCAUUAUCCGGCUCUUGAAUACCGAGCAUAAUUUCUUGUGGGUUUGAUUAUUGUAGACUUGGCUUCUCUCAAGAAUUUAGAAGAGUUGGAUUUGAGUUCCUCCACUGUCGAUAAUAGCUUUCUGCAAACAGUCGGGAAGAUUACUACUCUAAAGAGUUUAAGAUUGAAUGGUUGUCGACUCAAUGGCUCCAUCCCUAAAGCCCAAGGUAAGUCUGACCACCUUUCCCCUCCUUAGGCGUUCUGCUUCUUCUCUGACUAAAAUUUUUAUGAAUCAAUAAAUUCUCAGGCCUAUGUCAGUUAAAGCAUCUCCAAAAUCUAGAUAUCAGCGGGAAUGAUCUCAGUGGUGCUUUGCCUUGGUGUUUGGCAAAUUUGACAUCCCUUCAACAAUUAGAUUUGUCUUCCAAUAACUUUAUUGGAGACAUUUCCUUCUCUCCUCUUACAAGUCUCACAUCCAUCCGAGAGUUAUCACUUUCAGACAACCACUUUCAGAUCCCCGUCUCAUUAAGCUCAUUUCUCAACCAUUCACAACUCAAGUAUUUCGAUGGUAGCAAUAACGAAAUAUAUGUUGAAGAAUUAGAGGAGCAUAAUUUGGCCCCAAAGUUCCAAUUAGAAAGUCUUCGUUUAUCAGGCAAUGGAUAUGGUGGAGCAUUUUCCUUUCCCAAAUUCCUCCUCCAUCAAUACAGCCUCCAAGAAAUUGAUUUUUCUAACCUGAAAUUGAGGGGAGGGUUUCCUAUUUGGUUGUUAGAGAACAACACAAACCUAAAUUAUCUCCAUUUGGUCAACAAUUCUCUUUCAGGGACUUUUCAAUUGCCAAUUCAUCCUCAUCAGAAUUUGUCUGAAUUAGAUAUUUCUAACAAUAACUUCGAAAGCCACAUUCCUAGAGAAAUAGGAUCAUAUUUUCCAAGUUUAACAUUUUUAUCCAUGUCUGAUAACCACUUCAGUGGUCGCGUUCCCUCUUCAUUUGACUUUCUGUUGUAUCUUCAAGUUUUGGACCUCUCAAAUAACAACAUCUCUGGAACCUUACCAUCUUUCUUUAACUCUUCAAACCUCCUGCAUGUUUAUCUGUCACGAAAUAUGCUACAAGGAUCCCUAGAACAUGCAUUUCAGAAAUCCUUUGAGCUAAUAACGUUGGAUCUUAGCCAUAAUCAUUUGACUGGUAGCAUUCCAAAAUGGAUUGGUGAGUUUUCCCAACUGAGCUUUCUUCUCUUGGGUUAUAAUAAUCUUGAUGGCAGUAUACCCACGCAAUUGUGCAAGUUGAACGAAUUAAGCUUCAUUGAUCUUUCUCAUAAUAAUUUUUCUGGUCAUAUUCUACCUUGCCUAAGAUUUAAAAGCAGUAUUUGGUUCAUCCUACUCGAAGAAUAUCCUUCUGAGUUUGAUCUUCGAGAACCAUUGGUUAUUGCAACAAAGAGUCUGUCUUAUUCUUAUCCGCCAAGUAUUUUGAACUACAUGACCGGAUUGGAUCUCUCCUGCAACAGUUUGUCAGGUGCGAUUCCUCCUGAAAUUGGGAAUCUCAACCACAUUCAUGUAUUGAACCUGUCCAACAAUCAUUUAAUAGGCCCAAUCCCACAAACUCUUUCAAAUUUGAGUGAAGUUGAGAGCUUGGACCUUUCCAAUAACAGCUUGAAUGGGGAAAUCCCUCCUCAACUUGUACAAUUGCAUUCUCUUGCCUAUUUUAGUGUAGCCAACAAUAACCUGUCUGGUAAGACUCCUGAGAUGGUUGCACAAUUCUCAACAUUCAAUAAGAGCAGCUACGAGGGAAAUCCCUUACUUUGUGGACCACCACUGCUUAACAGUUGCAUCAAAGAAGUACCACCACCACCUGGGCCUUCAACUGAUGAGAAAGAAGAGAGUAGCGUCUUCAUUGAUGCACAAGUUUUUUGUGUGAGCUUUGUUGUGACAUACAUCAUGGUGCUGUUGGGAAUAGCUGCAGUUUAGUACAUAAACCCAGACUGGCGGCGAGCAUGGUUUUAUUUCAUUGAGAAGAGCAUCAACACUUGCUACUACUUUGUUGCGGAUAAUCUUCUUAAGCCAUUCAGAAUCAGAGUUUGGAAGCCUUUGGUAUAAAUAAAUCUCAACUUUGCAUUGUUUCUACAUUUCAAAGGGAAGAUUUAGAUGGUCAAUCUUAUCUCAUCUCAGUAGUAUAAAUAAUGUCUCAAAAGUUGUGUUCUUUAUAGCAAUGUAAUGAAGAAAAUCAUUUCAUCACAAUUUUGCUUUCAGCAUUCAACAAGUUCUUGCUCAUAUAUCUUCCUUCAAAUCAUAAGUUCAUUCAGCAAGUUAUUUGUAGGAGUAUUUGUUAAAUAAGGUAGAAAAUGGUAAAGUUUUCAUCUACCCCUUGUUGACUGGAGAUGUCAACUUGAACAGAGUAGCUCUGGAAUUGUUCGUUGACCUGAAGCUUUGAAACGAUUCGUAUGUACUUCAAAUUAGGUAGACUAAAGUUUUUUUUGUUAAAUAUGGUUCUUGUUCUUUCAAUUUUAAUUUUCAACCCCAAUUGACUAAUUGAUCAUUAAGUUCCUCUCAAAACUCAAAACAUGCUUAAUACGGCAAAUUAAAAGAAUGAAAGAAAGAGUGAAAUUAAUUGAAAUCUUGUUUUCAUUUAACUAUAUUAUUUAAAUUAAUUUGAAUCUUGAUUUUUAUUUAAAUAUAUUAUUAACAAAUAAAAAGACGAUGUUGCUAAGUUAGAAUUGACAUUGGUAGGAUUUGAGAAUUUCUUGAUAAAUAACCUUCUCAAGUUUCACCUGACCCACAAUCCAAGAUUUGCUCCCGAUCAACCUUGGAUAGGGUUCAAAAACCAUGGUGAAAAGUAAAAGGAACGUAACAGAGAGACGAGAGUCAUGUGUGUUACCAGCCAUUGAAUUAAUAUUGAUGUAAAGCAAAAACUUGGGAAUUUCCUCGAAGAAUCAAUGGGACAAUAAGCCAAAUAAAGAAGACUUUAUUACAUAUGGAAAAUCAUGUGAUGACGACGACCAAUUCCAUCCAAACCACAGGGUAGAUAGCGUGGAAUUGAAUUCCAGUGCCAUACAAGUGGGCUGUUUAAUACAAUUCAUGAACGAACACUUUCUCAACUUUGUCAUUGUAAAAGACAACAGUAAAUUAAAUCGAUCUGCUACUACAGCAACAACAAUCAUAAGAUCGAGUGUGUUGAUUCGUCUUAUAGUAUAAAGAGCAGCUUGUACAAAGCCAGUGGUAUACAAUUUAAUUCAUCAAGUAUUUCAAAUGGGUUAAGCAGGUUCUCUGUAGUAGUGAUAAAGCUGAUCUUUAUGGUUUUAUUACCAGGGUGGUGGUUUCAUUUGUGUUUGGAGGAAGAGAGAAUUGCUCCAUUGGAAAUAAAAAAUUUCCUUUUACCAACCCAUUGUUAACGAAAGAUCGAGCGUGUUGAUUCGUCUUGUAGUAUAAAGAGCAGCUUGAACAAAGCCAGCGGUAUAUUUGUAUACAACCAAAAUUCCUCUAACUACCCAAACGGCGGCGAACACCUGCAAUCUUGGGGAAAAGAAGCCGGCAGUUGUAAUUGGGAAGGUAUUUCCAAUAGAGCAAUUCUCUGUUCCACCAAACACAAAUGAAACCUGGUAAUAAAACCAUGAACAUCAGCUUCAUCACUACUACAGAGAACUUGCUUAACCCAUUUGAAAUACUUGAUGAAUUAAAUUGUAUACCGCUGGCUUUGAGCACUGGAGGGCUGCUCUUUAUAGGAGGAGAGCGCAGUACUGUACCCUACAACCAGCGACGUUGCGCGUUCAUCAUUUAAUUCCACGCUAUCGACCAUGUGGUUUGGAUGGAAUUGGUCGUCGUCAUCACAUGAUUUUCCACGCAUAAUAAAGUCUUCUUUAUUUGGCUUAUUGUCCCAUUGAUGCUUCGAGGAAAUUCUCAGCAUUACAUCAUGCACAGUGCCAGCAGAAAGAUCAUCAAUUCAAUGGACGGUAACACAGGGGUCUCGCCCCCCUCUGUUACGUUCCUUUUACUUUUCACUUUGCCUUGGAAUGACAAUAAAAAAUAUCGGAAUAUCGAGAUUUAAUCCUGCAUUACUAAUUUUUUUUUUUUUUAUUAGAUCAUAAAAUAACUUUCUUAAAUUACUUAUAAGAACUAGAAAUAAUUAAGGGUUAUUUCUCAAACAAAAGAAAAGGUAGUGGCACCAUAAAUACACCAUGCCUAGUUUAGAAAUUUAUACAAGGAUUUAUGCAUAUUCAAGGUUGAUAAUGCAGUUUAACAAGAAAAAAAUAAGAAUUUGGUGGGUUUAUUUUUAUCAACUAAACUAAUAGAAAGAGUCGAAAUCUAGACGGAGGAAAUCACAAAUAAUUAUUGAAGUCACAAAACUUAAAAGACAAGUGAAAAUCAAUGACCCAACCAAAGUCAAGUCAACCGUGAAAACAACCUUUAAUCAUGUGACUUUUUACCUUUUCGAUGGUUUCAAUGGGCUUCUCAUAUGCGCAUGAAAAAUUGAAUUAGAACAUUUUAGUAACCGUGGAAGAUAAUAUCGACUUGUUUUAUCUAUUAAUUUAAAAUAAAAUUUAAAUUUUCACAUUACCAAGAAUGUUUUUAUUGAUGUUGAUAUUAAUAUUGAGGAACUAAAUAAUGCUUUGAUAACCAACGAACAUACAGAACCAACGGACAAAAAUACCAAGAAAAAUGUUAAAAAUAUUAAUAUUUAAUUAUUCAUUGAUAAAACUUUCAUUAAAAAAAAACCCAAAUAAAAACCAGAUUCCCUAAUAUCAUAAAAGACAAGCAUUUCUUCUUCUUAUCUCUUCCUCUUUUGUAAAAAUCAAAAACGUUUCUCUCUAACGGGUAAGUCAAAAACGUUUUACUUUUUUUUUAAUUAACAUAUUAUGUGAAUUUGUUUUUUUAUCUCUGCUCCACUUCACUCACAACAAAAUUAAAGUAGGAUUUUUCUUUUUUCUUUUUUCUUUUUUAUGUUUAUUUUGCAUUAUAUUUGUUUUUCUUUUUUUUUUGUUGAAUUUUUCUGUUCAAUGUUGUUGUUAGAAUUGUUUUCAUAUUAGAAUAGUUUUUUUUUUUUAAUGAAGAGAGUCGUGGUUUCUUCCCAUCUUCCAAGGUUCUUCAAUACGGUGAUCCUUUGUCCCCUUAUUUGUUUAUCCUGACUAUGAAGAAUUUAAAAGGUAUUUUUAAAGAGGCCUCACGGAACUCGAGGUCUUAUUAUCAUUGGCAGUGCCAACAUAAUAUCAUUACUCACUUGUGCUUUACUAAUGACCUUAUGAUCUAUUGUCAAGCAGAUAGAACUCAAUCAAGAUUGUGAGGAAGGCUUUGAAUUAUUUUGCAGGGUUGUUUGGUCUUGUUAUAAAUCCAAAGAAGAGCCCAAUUUUUUUAUCAGGAGUUAAUGAUAAGCUUAGGACAUCUUUACAAGAUCUUUUUGGUUUCAGGUUAGGUUCUCUGCCAAUAAGAUACCUAGUUGUUCUAUUGAUAUCUAUUAAACUAACUCACUCUGAUUAUAAGCCUUUAGUAGAGUGGAUUCUCUCCAAGAUUAAGUUGUGGACCAUAAUUUUAUUUUAUUUUUUUACUUGUAUUGGGUGUCUUCAACUAAUCAAAUCAUUUCUCUUCUCCAUCCAGGUUUAUUGAUCCUCCAUGUUUAUUCUCUAUUGCUCUAUUAUUAAGAGGAUUAAGGGUAUCUUGGUUGCCUUUCUUUAUAAAGGCUGCUUUAUCUCCCACUCAGGGGCUAAGGUGGCUCGGGUCUAUGUUUGAUGUCGCACAUCACUCGCGCGGUGUCGGCUGGCAAUUUUUUCGUUAUGCGUUGCUUUGAUUUGAUUGGUUUGUUAGGAGUCAUCACCUAAUAAUUUAUUAAAGGCUACUAGGAAACCGAAUGUACUGGUCUUGUCAGAGAUUCGCGAGUAAGGGACUGGUUGUGGUUAGGGAAGGUAUUAGCACCCAUAACGCACCCUACCUGAGGUAAGCUGCUUCGUGGCUUUGACGUGUUAAAGAAGUUUUAAAAUUUUUUUCUUUUCAUCGGGUAUCAGAAAUACAACUUACAUACAAGUUAAUAAUUCUUGACCGUGAUCCAAUCAACAUAUUAAUUUCUUCUUUAAUCUUUGCAAUUUUAUCAUAAAUAAAUAAAUAAAACAUCCAUAAAACAAAUACAAACACACACAUACACAUACACCUUUACUAUAUUUUUUCCUUUUUUUAUUUUCUUUUCUUUUACAUACACACUACAAAUUAUAAAAAAUUCAAAAAAAGCUAGACAAAAAUUAUAUUAAACAACUAAAAAAUUACAAAAACAACCCCUAAAACAUCCUUGAAUUGCUGGGAACGGUGCUGUGAAAACUCAUGGACAGCCGGAACAGUGGCGGCGCGUUGUUCCACGCGCCACCAUCACUAGCGGCGUGUGGGUUCACGCACAGCAGAAAAAAAAAACAGCAGGGGAGAUCUGAAGCGGCUUCCUUGCCAACGAUGACUGCUACCUCUACCUGCAACAAGAAACAUAAAAAAAGGCCAUAAACAGUUGAUUUUAGAUUUGUCUUUCUUUGUUUUUUAGAUCUGCAUUUCUCCCUUCUCCUUGUUCGGAUCUGCUUCACUGCAGGUCAGUUGUUAUGGGUUUCAUCUUCUUCUUCUCUGCUUUGGGUGGCAGAUCGGGCUGCGUUGUAGUGUCUCAGUCACAGUAGAAGGCUGGCCGAGCGUCGUCGCGUGGGGGCUGUCGUUGGAGGGCAGAUCUGCGAACACUGCUAGAGGGAGAAGGUUGGCCACUCCGAGUCUGUGGGUGAUGUUGCUGCUGACGGCGAAGACCGGGUGAGAGUAGAGGUCUGGUGAGGUGAGGGAGCGGCCGGCUAGAGAGGGAAAGAGGAAGCGACCUCGAGAGAGAGAGAGAGAGAUGGCUGUGGGGAAAAUAAGAGAGGGAGCCGAGGUUGGACUUGGGGAACGGCUAAGAUGGAGAUGAGGGGGGAACAGAGUGGCUACUCCAGUUUUAGGAGAGUGGGGUUGAGGGUGGCUUCUGUUUUUUCUCUUUUGCAAAACUGCGGGGAAAGUUGAGAGAGGAGUGUGGUGGCCGGAGAUAGGGCUGCUGUGUUUGGCCAAGGAUGGGAUUAUGGUCGGGUGUGUGGCCGAGAGGUUCUGUGCAAGGUGGAUGAGGUCAAUGGUUGGGUGUCUAUGGGUGAAGGAGAGGGAGGGGGCGCCGUUCCUUGAAAAAGAUGGGUUUAGGGUUAGGGUUUUCUUUUUUUCUAUUUUUUUUAAUGUUUCAAAAUUGCCCCCCUCUUUGUGUGUGUUGAAGACCAGUAUUUAUAGGCAAAAAUAUUGCUAGGUUUCCAAACUUGGUCCCUCAACUUCUUUCUUUUUGUAAAUUUGAUUUUUCUUAAUUUUUUGUAUUUUUUUAAAAACGAGCAAUAUCAACGUCGACUCGAUGAGGAAAAUCAAUGAUUUUAAAAAUAACACGUGAAAAGUUGAACGCGUUCGAAAGACUCUUAAAAAUUUAAAUUCUUUUUUAGACGACGUUGAAAAUACUAAAAUGAUGAAAAUAUAUUAAAAACAUAUUUUUUUGAAUUUUUAUUGUUUUUCUCUAUUUUUGAAUUUUUCUGAAAAUUUAUCAAAACAUGGAUCAAAAAUUAGGUAGCAACAUUUGAUAUCCCUUAAAAAGGGUGGCCUAAGAAUAAGGAGGGCUCAAACUUGAAAUGAAACAGUUAUUCUCAAGCAUGUCUAGCGACUACUAUCAGAUAGAUCAUCAGUUUGGUCAGGAUGGGUCCAUAAUGUUUUGCUCAAAGGCAGAUCUUUUGGGCAUGUCAUGCCUCCUUCAAUGUCUUCUUAGUCAUGGGGGAAGGUUUUAUUCAUCAAAGAUUGGUGUAAAAGGAAGUUUGUCUUCAAUAUUGGUAGUGAAACUACUACCUCUAUAUGGUUAGACUAUUAGUUACCAGAUGGGCAACGGUUAUGUGAUCUAGUGUAUUUUAGGGUGCUCGCUUAUACUGGGUUGUCAUGGAAUGCUAAGGUCUCAUACAUCAUUAAGAGGGAUACUUGGGUUUUUCCAUUGGGUAGUCUGGAGCUCCAGCCUGUAUAGGACUCGAUUACUUUUAACCCAAGAGUGUCUUACCAAAUCAUUAUGUCUGGAACGGUAACUCAUUGGGGGAGGUUCUUUAUUGACUCGGCAUGGGAGGUUCUUAAAGAUUCCAAACCCAUAGACUAUAUACACUAUCUUCUCUGGUUUUCAGGUUUCAACUUGUGACUCUCUUUUAUCAUGUUGUUUACCUUUAUAAGUUGUCUCAAUAUCAUGAAUAGACUACAUGCUUUUUAGAUCAUUCCCUCUUCGACAUGUAUCCUUUGUGGGUUACAGGUUGAAACACAUGAACAUUUAUUUUUUUAGUGUCCUUUCUCUGCUAUAGUUUAGGGUGUUAUCACGAAUAUGACCCUUAUGAGUUGGUCUUCUUUGACAUGACAUAAUUUGCUUUAGUAGGCAUACAAGCACUUGAAGAAAAAAAAAUAAAAAAGGACUUUACACAUUUACUUACUUGGCUAGCCUUUUGUACCUCUAUUUAUUUCAUUUAGUGUGAGAGAAAUAAUCAAGUUUUUCAUAAGAUUUAUUGAUCUCAUCAGGAUGUUUGCAAAGAUAUUUUUUAUUUGGUUCACUCCCGUUUGAUAGAGCUCGAACUAGGUUUUAUAUCCUAGCUACUUUCAGGUCCAUUUGGUGCCUCUAAAAGUUAUGAAAUAUAAUUACUCUUGCUAAUUUUAAGAUUUUAUUUAGCAUAAUUUUAUAUAUAAUCAAUCGAUCAUCUACAAGCAUUUAUACUUCUUGAGAUAUGCUCCUCGUGCUCUAUAUAGUUUCUUCCCUUUAAAACAACUUUUAUCCGAAAAUAAGAAAAGAAUUUUGUUUUGCUAUACAUUGCAAGUUUUAAUGUCUAUUUAAUAUGUAUGCUAUGAUUUUAUUUUGAUCAAGAUGAACUUAAUUAUAUAAAAAUGCAAGCAAUCUAAACUAAAUUAUAGAUCGAAAACAACAGUUAUCCAAUUCAAAAAAACCACUCAAAGAUUUGAGCUGAACCAUUACACUAAUGCAAAAUUAUUCAUCGAAGAAAUUUAGAAGUGCAUUUUCAAGGAAACCAAAAAUAAUGGAUACAUGAACCUUGUUCGGUAUACUUCUAGCUAAAACAGGAUAUCAAUCAUCGAUAACUAUCUUCCUCGAUUGCAUUUUAGCUGUCAUAUGGAGAGGAAAACUUUAUCAUCAUAACUAGUAUUAACAUGAAUUAGAUGACUGUUGAUUUCCUGGGUUGGCACUCAAACUUGCAACGCAUUGUGCAAAUUCUAAAAAAGUGAAUUUACAUAGCCGGAAUAUCUACCAUGUCAUGUGCUUCAGGAGAAUGGCUUCCCAUGGCCUCAACUUAUCAUAUUCCACUUCGAGCAGCUUAGUGAUUUGAAGUUUGAGGAAGCCUGAAAGAACCCCCAGCAUAAAGCAUCUCAUAGACAGGCCUUAUCCUCAUGGUUAGAAAAAUGCUCAAGAUGGAGCCCAAACCGCAGGCACCAGCAGGAGAUGCUUGAACUGGACAGCAAAUUUGGUACCUGCUGCUUUGCUGCCUCGUUAUCAUAUACAUAGCCUGCCAGGAGACCUGAGAAAAGGAACGCACCGAGAGGAUUUCCUAGUGACAUGAAGUUGUAAAAUAAACCAAAAUGCUUCAAGCCGAAAAGCUCAGAGACAGUCGGUAUCAUUAUCGAGAACUGAACUCCAUAGCAGAUCCCAAGUAAUGCUGUUGCGGCGUAAAGGAUACCAUCAAUUGCAGAAGCAAACAACAGGUACGUUAUGAUCAUCAUUACUUGAGUGCACGUCAUCCAUAUUGUCCGAGGGAUUGUUUUUGAUCUGCAAGGAAUAAAUGUCCAACACAUCAAAGUAAUACAACACCACAAAAAUAUUGUAGCCUGUGCAGUCUGUAUUCUUUUGGAACCGACAGUCAGACAAUUACAAUGGACUGAUAACGAAAUUUGAGGAUGUGCCAAAGACAAAAGCUCAUGGAAAUAGACAAGUAACAAUCAUAUGACAUUUUGGCAGAACAUGAGCUAUGCUUCUUAUGCAUAUGUUUUCUCCGUCUACGAGCAUCGAUAUCUGGAGCAUAUAACAGAAGAAAAACCGAUGCAACUUAAUUCUCAGAGGAUGCUCGCACUGUCCAAUAGAUGGAGUGACAGUAUUAUUCCUGGAACUAAGCCCCAUCAUGACACAAUUUGAGAAUGAAAAUCAUCUUGGCAUCCUUUGAUUUGGUUUUUCUGUGUUUUAUAUUUUGUUUAUAAAGUCACUGGCUCUAAGCCAAGACUUGCAUGGUUUAGAUGAUUUGGUUUUUUUAACCUUUUAAAUGUAAAUCAAUUAGGCAUCAAAAUGCAGAAAACUUCAUUGUAAUGAACUUAAUGAUUAGCCAAGAAGGAAAGGGUGUAGUAACCUGACAAAAUGUUCAGACACAAUACCCCCACCAAGACGCCCCACAAAAUUGCAAAAGCUGAAGAGCGACAACAAGAUGGUAGUAUCAUGCACGCCUUGUGCAAUUCCUAUCUGGGCCAGAUUAUUGAGCACCCGUUACCCCAGAUCCAACACCCACAAAGUACACAAAGAAAAGAAGCCAGAAAUCAGCCUUUAUUAGGGCUUCAGUAAAUCUGAAAUCCUCCCCUCUUUUCGGUCUCCUCUUCUUCUUCACAGCCCCUUCACCCUCAGCUAGAAGCAUAGCCACCUCAGAUGCCUCAACAUUUUCCCGAAAACUUCCGAGGGCUGUUGUUGAUGAAGAUGAUUUCAGCAGCGGUUCGGUUUUGUCUGCGUUGUCUUCUUGUAUCACACUGUCUGGAGUCUCAACUGGCUGGUGAUGCAUCUCUGGUUUACUGACUCUCAUGCGGUGAAAUGUCAUUUUUAUGGGUAUUGCAAAUGGAGCCAUGAGAAGGACAACCAUUAUAACAAGAAAGGUAUUAGAUACCGGGGCACUGAAAUGAAAUAUGUGAUUCAAUAUGGUGGUUGUUAGGACAUAUAAGCCGAGUACAAUAAGAGCUCCUUGAGUGAAAAGAAAAUGGGCGUGUUCUGAAGAGUCUUCACCUGAUGCAGGGGUACAAGCUCUUACAAAAUACAUGACUAUGAAACACAGAACAGGAAUUCCAAGUGCAAGAAACAUCAGAAGCUUAGAUGAGGAAUUGCGGAGCAGAGUACUAUAAAUUUCAGUAAAUACUGCAGCACUGAUUCCACCGUAACCUUUAAGAACACCAGCAACAGUGCCUCUACUAAGAGGAAAGUUUCUCAUGUUGGUUACAAGAACAGCUGUGCUCAACCAAGCACUACUAUUGGUGGCAACACAGAGAGCAAGGCAUAGCUGCAAUAUCGUAAAGUGAAAACAAAAAAUGUGACUUUAGUCCUUUUGCUGGAAAAUUUUAGAAUGAGCACAAUGAACAUAUAUGCCACUCAACCAAAUAAAAAUGAUGAAGAUUUUGAGAAAUUAAACAUGCAUUAACAGUAUCUGAGCACAGGACAUUUUCCACAAAUCACAAAGUAAACCACAUGAAGCAGCAACUAUAUCCAAAUUUGCAGAAAAUCUCACUCCUAUGCAUACAACAACGAAAAAACUUGUGAGUUUCUACAGCAAACAGUGAUUCGCCAUCCUCUAACACUGUAGUUUAUCAUAUCUGUCAUGAGCAAUAAUAUGGAAGCUGAUUUUACUAGACANNNNNNNNNNNNNNNNNNNNNNNNNNNNNNNNNNNNNNNNNNNNNNNNNNNNNNNNNNNNNNNNNNNNNNNNNNNNNNNNNNNNNNNNNNNNNNNNNNNNAAAAUACAAACACACACAUUCACAUUUCACUAUUUUGUUUCUUUUCCUUUCUUUUCUUUUUCUUUUCUUUUACAUCCACAACACAAAUACAAAUACAAAUACGAAUACAAAAUCAAAAUCAAAACAAAUAAAUAAAAAUUACAUUAAUUAAUUUAAAAAAUUACACAAUAGUCCCUAAAACUCCAAAAAUUGCAGGGAAGCCCAUCUGAAAAACAGAGGGGCCUGGAGCGGCUUCUUCUCCUCUUCCUUUCCUCACCGACGAUGAAGGUCACCGCCACUUGCAACAAGAGAAAAACUCACAAACAGUAGUUCGUUUUAAUUUUUUUCUUUCUGUUACAGAUCUGCUUCUCUUUGAUCUGCUUCUCUGCAGAUCGGUUCGCCCUUCUUCAGAUCGACUUUGCCCCGGGUCAGCCUCUACUUCGGGCGGCGUUGUUGGGGUUGCUGUUGCUGUCGUCCGUUCGGCGGCUUCGUUGUUAGUGGAGAUGAUGAGAUCGUCGGAGGACAAGCAGGCGACCGGCGAGAGGGGAGAGCUAAGGGGGACGGCGUGUGGCUGAGCUGGGGCCGAUGGUUUUGUUUCUUCGGUUUUGGGCGGGGAAGGGAGAGUCUGUGGGUGGUGGCUUGCUUCUGUGGAGGAGACACCGCUACAAGGCUAGUCGGGUGGAGAUGAAGAGGACAGCGAGGCUGCUGCUGGUGGCUUCGGUUCAGUGGAGGCCGGUCCGGCCGCUGGUCUGUGGGGAGGAGAAAAAUGGGGAAGAGGGCAGGGGCUGCUGUCGGUUAUGGAGAAGGCGAAUUAAGGGAAACGGUGAUGGGCAUGGAGGUCUGGUGGAGAUGGGGUCUUCGGGUGGCUGAGGAAAAGGCUGAGAGGGAGGAUCUGUGGAGGGGGAGUUGAUUCGGGGUUGUUGUGAUGCUGGGUUUCGGCGAGCUGGAGGUGGGGAACGGUUCGGUUUUGGAGGAGAAAGGAGAGGAUUUGUGUGGCUUAGGGUGCAAGCGUUGGAUUUGCUGGUCGAAGAGGAGCCGGCUGAGAAGGUCUGCUGUUGGGUCCGACAGCUGAGGAAGAAGAAAAUGGAAAAUCACCCUCUCUCCUUCGGGUGCAGGGGAGAAGAAGAAAAUCCCAAAGGGGCUGGGGACCGUGGGUCUCUGCCCACUGCUCUCGGGACCCGGCGAAAUGAAAAAUCCCCCCUAUGUUGCAUAGCUGGGGAUGAGAAGAAAUAGGGGUUCUCCUCAUGAGGAGAGCCUCCAUUGUCGGCUGGAAACAAGGAAAACAAGACCUGGGUGGGGGGCUGAGUCCCUGAUUUUCAGCUGAAAGAGGGGUCUUGGGCUAGGGGGAGCGGCUGGUUUCGGGUGAAGAAAAAAAAAUUCUUAGGUUGCCUCUCCCUCCAAUAUUCAAAAUUCUUUAUACAUAGGCAAAAAUACUAUUUCGGCCUCAAAAUUGGUCCCUUAACUUUCUUUUUUUUUUGUAAAUUUUGAUUUUUCUUAUUUUUUUAUAUUUUUUUGAAAACGAGCAAUAUCAACGUCGACUCAAUGAGGAAAAUCAAUGAUUUUUAAAAAUGACGCGUGAAAAGUUGAACGCGUUCAAAAGUCCCUUAAAAAAAAUUUAAAUUCUUUUUUUUUUAGACGACGUUGAAAAUGCUAAAAUGACACGAAUAUAUUAAAAACAUAUUUUUUUGGAUUUUCAUUUUUUUUCUCUAUUUUUGGAAUUUUUUGAAAAUAUAUCAAAAACAUGGGUCAAAAAAUGGGUAACAACACAACCCAUCAGCAUAAAGUGGACGACAAGCUGACAAAUUUAGCUAUGCAGUUAACCUGUAAAAAAGCAAUUGAAAUCCCAGUCGAAAUUUAACAUUACUAAGUACCCAAUAAGCACUCAAAAUCAAAGAAAACAAAAGCCUAAUUAUCUCAAUUUAGAAACAACUAACAUUAAAAAAAAUUACCAAAUUUAUUAACCAGUAAAGGGGUUCGAAGAAUGACCUGGAAGAUAACGAUAACAAGAAGGGCAAUAAGAAUGAAGAAGGCUAUCAGCCAAACAAAAAGAUCUCCCAUGCUCCUCCUUUACCCUCCCUGCUCUAAUGUUUUACUCUCUCUCUUCUCCCUUAAGUACUCUGCUUCGUUAGCUCAAGAAAAAGGUAGAGAUGGGUGCUUAUUAAUCACUCUGGCAUGCACAGGGGCUUUGGUUCUUCUCCUGUCUGAAAUGCCACAAUUCUUGUUCGGUUUUCCUUUGAUUUAUUACAGAGAGAAGUUGUGAAAGUAAAAAAAGCAAUUGCAAAUUGUCGAUGAUGAGAGAGAGUAGAAACGCAUGAAAAGCAAAAGAUAUUUGCUUUUCAUUUUUUACAACUGAACCGUGAUUUUUAAUGGGACCCACAUAGAAAUAAAUUGUGUUUUGAAGGUAACCAAACACAUGUUUUACUGCUUUCCUACAAACCGCAACCGCACCAGCUUAGCCAAACACCCACUAUAUAUUAGAAGUAAUGUUAGUAAGAAAAAAAAUCAUAAUUGAUUGUUAUGCAUUUAAAUAAUAAAUCUCAUUAUAAAAAUAUUGUAUUUUUACUUACAAAAAUAGUCCAUCCAAUAAAUAAAUAAAUAAAAAUGUAAGAAAAUAGUCCAUCCAAUAAAUAAAUAAACAAAACAUGUAACAUGAUGUUGUUACAUGUUUAAAGUGACACUCUCUUUAAAGUUCAAGCAACCACUUGUCUUUGAUCAUUAAAGUGUUACAGCUUUCAGGAACUCAUCAGGAAAAAAAAAAAAAACGAGGACCUCUUUAGUUUUUACAGACUGCUGGUUCCACGAAGGAACGCAUGCAGAAAUCAAAUGGGGUUGACUACAAGAAAUGAAGAGUGACAGAGCCAUUUGCUUCGACUCCAUUGAUAAAAAUUUGUUGCUUUCGAUGGCUUUUCUUCGAUUUGCUUCGACUCCAUUGAUCAAAAUUCGCUGCUUUCGAUGGCUUUAAUUUCUUCUUUUUCUACAGAUUGAUACAUGGAGUGUGCUAAAGCCAUUAAAGGUGGUAACUGGGAUGUUGCAGAUUCACUUUUGGCAGAAAUUCGAUCUCUAGCUCCUAAAGAAGAGAGCAUAUCGACGAGGAUGUUGGUGGAAGAAACCACUGGUGGUGGCUUUGAAACACUCGGAGAGGAUAAAACAUAAGGUUUUAUUACAAAAACAGAAGCUUAACAAAUACAACAAAAGCUUUACAAUACACACCCUCUCUCUCUCUAUAUCUAGUGUUUCUUUCUUCUCUCCACACAUAAUAACCUUAGCUUAGAUGCCUAUUUAUACACAAAUUCAGUCAGCUCAAAAUUCAACGGUCAUGGUGUGAAAGCGGUUGGCGGUCGAUGGUGUGAAUGCGGUUAGGCGGUGGCAGCUGGGGGCUGGGGGCUGGGGGCUGGCGGCUGGUCGGUGACAGCUGGGGGCCGGUGAGGCGGUGGUUGCCUUCCUUGACCUUCUGGAUAUUCUGGAUAUUGAGUUUAAACAAAUCUCCCCCUUAAACUCAAUUGAGGGAUGUCAUGCCAAACAUGAAUACUUCUCCCUUCAACGCCUUCUCUCUACUUGUAGCCUUUAUCCACUAAUUUGGCUUUCGUCUUGUAGACCCAUUUGACACCUAUUGCUUUCUUCUUUUCUGGUGGAUAAGUCAGCUUUCAGGUAUCUUUCUUCUCAAUGGCAUGUAUUUCUUCAUCCAUUGCUUUAAUCCAUUUCACUUCUGUGACAGCUUCAUUGAAACUUAAUGGGUCACUAUCUGCAUGGAGACAAAAUAGAGUUGUAUCUUCCAUGACUUGAGUAGCAUCGUACAACUCUUCAAGAUUCCCCAUCCUUCUUGGUCCUUCUGAUGAGGAUGAUGAUGAUGGUGUUGAUGAUGAUGAUCCUGGUGUGUUCCUCCUGUUGAAUACAGGGAAUCUGUGUACCGGACUUUGUGGUUCAGCUGCUGGUAUAACACCGGACUUUGUGGUUCAGCUGCUGGCACAAUCGGUUCUUCGUACAAUUGUUCUUCUGCAAGUACUGUUGGUACUUCUUCACCUUCAAGGAUCAAAUCAGUUGAUCCAUUUGACUGCUUCUUGAUCACCAUUCCAUCCCAAGAUUUAUCUUCUUCAAAGAUAACAUCUCUACUCGUAAUCACCUUCUUCGUGAUGGGAUUAUACAGCCUGUAUCCCAUCCUUCUUUCACCAUAUCCGACAAAGAUGCAUUUCUCGCUCUUAUCAUCGAGCUUUCUCCUUCUUGCAUCUGGGAUCUUUGCAUAUGCCACACAACCAAAGACUCGUAGAUGAGUAACACUUGGUUUGUGACCACUCCAUGCUUCUUCUGGAGGACUCCUUGCAAACUUCUGGUUGGGCAGCGAUUCAGUAUACACUGCACAUGAUACAGCUUCAGCCCAGUAUUGCUUGGGCAACUUCUUUGCUUUGAGCACUUCUGCCAUGUCAAGAAUCGUGCGAUUCUUCCUUUCUGCUACACCAUUCAGCUGUGGUGUAUAAGCUGGCGCGUUGUCUGAUGUCUGAUGCCUUGUUGUGUACAAAGGCUUCAAAGUCAUUUGCUGUAUAUUCUCCACCUUGAUCAGAUCUUACGGUUCUGAUCGUGUAACCAGUUUGCUUCUCCACAAUUGCUUUAAAAUCUUUAAAACAAUUGAAUACUUCUGACUUCCUCUUCAGAAAGUAUAUCCACGUCUUUCUACUAAAAUCAGUAAAAGUGAGGAAGUACCUAUUUUGUCCAGUCGACAUAGGCGUAAUUGGGCCACACACAUCUGUGUGUACUAACUCCAGUGGCCUCUUUGCUCUCCAGUUGACUUCUUUGGCAAAACUGGAUCUGUGAUGUUUGCAAACCUUUGACCAUCUUCUUGCUUGCUAGCAUCUUCAACUCGUGAAAUUCAGAUGUCCAAGCCUCAGGUGCCAAAGCCAUUCUUCACUGUUGGUGAUGGCGCUCAAACACCUUGUUGCAUCAUACUGGAUGUUCAAAGGAAACAUCCUAUUCUUGGACAUUUUCACAUAGGCAAUUAGUCUCCCAUUGUUGUCUCUAAUUGUCAGAUGACAAUUCUUCAAGUAAAGAGUAUAGCCUCUCUCUAUAAGUUGACCUAUGCUGAUCAAGUUCUGCUUUAUGGCUGGGACAUAAUAAACAUCAGCGAUGUGGCUGUUAUCGCCAUUCUUCAACUUGAUUGGGAUGUUGCCUUUACCUUUGAAUGGAACCUUUGAGGUAUCUCCAAAAGUAACUAGACCUUGUUUGGUCUCAUCUAGAUCACCAAAUAACUCUCGGUGGCCGCACAUGUGAUUGCUGGCUCCAGAAUCUAGAUACCAUACAUUCUUUUGUUUCUCACCAUGUCCUUGUUAGACAAAUAAUGCAGCUACUCCUCUGUCAUCAUUCUCUGCAUAGUUGGCUUGCUCACGUAUCUCUAACGGAGCUUUCCUUCGGCAUUCAGUGCUAUAGUGCCCAAAUUGAUUGCAACUAUAACAUUUCAUAUUUCUCUUGUCACGGUUAUUGUAACCGCCUCCUCUUUCUCUAGGAGUGAAUGCUUGUUGUCCUCGACCUCCUCUGGUGGUGUUUCUACCACCUAUUCCUCUGAAGCUUGUAUUCCAAGAUCCUCUUCCUUGGAAUCUUUGAAAUCCUCCUCUGGAUUGUUGACUUCUUUCUUGAGUGGGAUAUCGACUUGUUGAAGUCUCCCCUUGCUCAUAUCUGUUCUUGAGAGACAACUUUGUUUGUAAGGCAUGUUCGAUGGCCUUAUCUCCAUUUCGCUUUACAAUUUUCUGCUCAUGGGCUUGCAAAGAACUCAUAAGUUCAUCCACUGUCAACUUGUCCACAUCUUUGGACUCUUCAAUUGCGACAACAACAAAAUCAAAUUUUAGAUCUAGGGAUCUCAAAAUUUUCUCAGUAAUUCGAGUGUCGCACGUGUGCGGCGGCGCGGCGAUCGUCCACCCCAACCCUUCAUGAGGGUGUAGUAUGUGUCUAUCUGGCAUGGAAAAUAUGGUGAGACAAGGAGUUCUUUGUCUCUAAAAAAAUGGAUCGGGAGUCGCCACCUAGUAUUCUGGUUACUAGGAACCCUUACUGGUCUUGAGAGAUCAGGUACGGAGACUGGUUGCGUAAAGGGAAGGUGUUAGCACCCCAACUACGCCCUACCUAAGGUAGGCUGCAUUGUUUUGUCUAAUAAAACCUAAGUCAUGUUAUGGUUUCCUAUUGUCCAAAAUAUGCAUUACAUGUAAUGUCAUACCCCGGGUUCUAUUGUCCAAACAAAAAAAAAAGAAUUAAAUAUCCGGAAUACGCAUUACGUGUAAUAUCAUACCCCAGGUUUUAUUGUCCAAAAAUAAAAAUUAAAUAUCCGGAAUAUGCAUUACGUGUAAUGUCAUACCCCAGGUUUUAUUGUCCAAAAAAUAAAAUUUUUGUUGUUUUUGAAAUAUUGGCCAAUAUUCUCUUGACUUUAAUAAACUGGUUAUUAAAGCCAAAAUGCAUGCUAAAACAUUUUUUUUUUUUUUGUGUAUUAAAAAUACAAUAUAAAUUUUUAGCUUUGAGACACUUGGCCGUAUGCACAAAAACAUUUUUUUCUUUUUUUUUUUUUUUUUUUUGUAUCUUGUGGAAAAAAUUUUUUUGACGAAAACCGGGAAUUUAAAAAUCAGAUUUUUUGUAUUUUUAACAACAUAAAAAACAUAUCACCCAAUAUUAAUCAAAAUGACAUAAAAAUUACGCGGAAAAAUUAUAAAUGAAACAAAUAUUUUUUGAUUUUUUUUUUUUGAAUGGGCGGGUGAACAGUACCGUAUGAACAGUACCACGGAACGAAAACGGGGUAUUUUAAUACCGGAUUUAUAUUUUUUCCCAACAAAAAAAAAAUGUUGCUUGAUAUUAAUCAAAAAUCCACGGGAAACUUGUAAAAUUACAAAAAAAACAAAAAUAAAACCAAUUUAAUUAACAAAAAUAAAUAAAUAAAAACUGGGCCGGAUCUAGCCCAUCCAUCCUGGGAUGGGCCUGACCCGGCCCAUAUACUGUGGGCUGGACUCAGCCCAGCCGCGUGGGCUGGGCUGAUGUUCCAGCCCACCAACCAAAAGGCUGGUUACUGUGUUAGCCACACAGUAACCAGCAAAUAAUAAGGUAGUUACUGUGCCCAGCACAGUAACUACCGAAUUAUUUUCAUUCUUUGCUGCAGAACGUGAUUCACGUUCUGCAUGCAAAGAAUGAAAACAAACCACUGAAUGUAUAAACGAAAGGCAACAGGGGGAAGACGAGUACCUGGAACGGUGGCGACGCUGGCGGCAGUGGAGGCGGCAGCGGCGGUGUAGUCGGCGGCUGUCCUCUUUCUUUCUCUCCUCUGUUUCUGUUCAUCGUCACCUUGGGUCAGUUUUUUUUCGUUGUUCCCUCUCUCUGUUCUGCUACUCUUCUUCCUCUGUCUUCUUCUUCAGUUUCAUUCAUCUCUUCUACAAGCCCUCUCUCACGUUGUUCUCAGCUUUCUUCUCCCUUUCGGUCCCUCUCCAAAAGCUUGGUUCUCUCUCUCUCCCUCACGGUUUUCUUUCAAUAAUCUGUCAGCUCUCCCCUCUGUUUUUCUCUUCUUUUUUUCUUUUUUUUUCCCUGCUGUUCUUCCUCCAUUUAUAGCCCGUGAGCAUGUGUUUUUUUCUUCUCAUCAUGGGGUCAUACGGCGGCUGGUCGGGCGUGGCUGUCCAGGCGUGCCUCCCUCAGUUUCGGCGGUGCGGUAGGUGGUCGGCCAAUCGGUGGGCUGGAGGGACCAACGCCAUAAAAUAUACAUUCUUUUUUUUUCCUUCUUUACUGCUGUAUGUUAGGCGGGGAAGAAAGGGGAACAGUGCCGUUCAAAACGGCGCCGUUUAGCCCUUUUCUGUUUUUUUUUUUUUUUUUUAAAGUAUGAAACGGCGUCGUUUUGGAUAAAACGCGCCGUUUCAUUUAAAAAUGGCGCCAGAACGCGCUAAAUUCCAAAUCAGCCCUCAAUCAUCUUUUUCUUUUCAAUUGCGUCCCUACCAAUUUCGGUCCCUGACCCCAUAGUUGGCUGCGUUUUUCACUUUGGUCCUUGGCCUCUGAUUUAUGCAAUUUAACCCUUAAUUGAUCAAUAAACUUCUAAUUUCUUCAAUUAGGCCCCUGAAUCAAUUCAAUACAGCUCCCUCUAUAUUCGCGCCUUUUCCAAAUUGGUCCCUGCUUUCGGAUUUUCGCAAUUAAACCCCUAAUUGGCCAUUAAACUUCAAAAUUCAUGCAAUUAAGCCCCUGAUUUGGCCUAAUAAAUUCCUAAAAAAUAUAUUUUGGCCCCAGAACUUAAAUUUCUUCUAAUUAAAGCCCAAAUUGAUUUCAAAAUCAAUUUUUCUCGCAAUCAAAACCCCUAAAAAUCCCAUUAAAAAUCCAAUCAUGUCCAUAAACCUCCAAAUUUAGGCUUUUUCCUCAAAAAUUUAAAUUUUCCUUCUAAAUAGGGCUCUCAUCCUUCAAGAAUAAACUGCCAAAAAUCCAAUCUUUGUAUUUUUAACCUCCUGGACCAAUUUUCUGACCAUUUUCUGAGCGCUUCCCCCCUUGUUAUUUUUCUAACCUCCUUUGGCUAUUUAUUUUUUAUUUUUUUUUUAUUAUUAUUAUUUUUUUUUUGCGGGGACCCAAAAAUGGGUUACAACAUCGAGAAUCUAUGAUGGCUUCUCCAUUUCUCCUUAUCUGAUUGACUAUCACCAUAAUCCUUGUGUGAUAAUCAGAAAUAGAUUCUGAGGACUUCAUUUGCAAUAAUUCAAAUUCUCCUCGUAAAGAUUGAAGAAGAAUCUUCUUGAUUCUAUCAGCACCUUUGUAUUUUUAUUGGAGAGCCUCUCAUUUAUCUUUUGAUGUUUCAGCGGAAGCUAUGAUUUCGAACGUAUCUUCAUCAAGACCUUGGUAGAUGAUGGUCUUUGCUUUGUUGUCCUUCUUUCUGUUGACUUUCAGGGCUUGCUUUUGUGCCUCUUGUAAAGCAUCUUCUGCUUCUUUGGACUCUGGUUCAUCAUAAUCAUGUUGUACAAUAUCCAAACACUCUUGUGAACCAAGGAAUGCCUUCUAUAUGAUGCACCAACUAUCAUAGUUGUCUUUGGUCAGCUUCGGGAUGAGUGUUUGUGUACUUUCUGUAGUCAUUUUGCUCUUUUAAUGCCUAUAUCGACUUCUAGGAGCCGAAUUUGACUAAACGGACACUGUAGAUCGAUCCGGAAUGGUCCAAAUAGUAAGGAACCGGUCUUACUUUGCAAAAAUCAGGUCAGAAUAUGGGUGAACCAGUCAAAACACCGAUUCUGUACGGGGGGCGGUUCGCUGGGUUGAACCGGGAAUAUUCUGUGGAAUAUUCUGUCGGCACCGGGAAUAUUUUGUCGACGCGCUGACGGCUGGGAAAACAGCACACGUACGGAGAGGCUUGGCGGCUCGGCUCAACUCGUACGGAGCGGCUUGGACGCUCGGCUGGACGACUCGGCUCGGCGCGGCUGGAUGGAGGCUCGGCUAACGGCUCGGCUUAGGAGGCUUAACGGCUGGAAUAUGGCGCGCGUGGACGUCACUCGUCGUCUUCCUCUGGUGCGCGUGGGCGACAGUCACCGGAUCUUCAGGCGGCGCGUGUGGCUCACCACGGGCUCCGAUCAGGCUAUUCUUUGCACCAGUGUGUUGAUCUUGAUGAGCUCUACACUGUGGAAUGAUCAAAACUUGUUUUUGACAGCUUUGAAAAUUUGGAUAUACCCCAAAAACACUCUUGUUUUCUGACGAACGAGGCUCUUAUACCAAUUGUUGGUGGGAGAAACCACUGGUGGUGGCUUUGAAACACUUAGAGGGGAUAAAACACGAAGUUUUAUUACAAAAAACAGAAGCUUAACAAUAACAAUAAAGGUUUACAAUAAACGCCCUCUCUCUAUAUAUAUAUAUCUAGUGUUUUUCUCUUCUCUCCACACUUAUAAUAACCUUAGCUUAGAUGCCUAUUUAUACACAAAUUCAGUCGGCUCAAAAUUCAACCGUCAUGGUGUGAAAGCGGUUGGUGGUCGAUGGUGUGAAUGCGGCUAGGCGGUGGCAGCUGGUGGCUGGCGGCUGGUCGGUGACAGCUGGUGGCCGGUGAGGCGGUGGUUGCCUUCCUUGACCUUCUGGAUAUUCUGGAUAUUGAGUUUAAUAUUCAACAGAGGAAAGUUGUCAAUUAAUAUUGUGCUGAGGCUCUUGCCCGGCGUGCGUGUCUGUACAUGGAGUUCGUCCUCCAUGGAUCCUUUACCCUUGCUACCUCCAUGCGAUCCAUCCGAUUACAUAUAUUAUCCUUUCGACCGGUUUGCUAAAAUCACUAGAUAUUUCGUUGUUGAUGCCUUGAGUUCGGGAAAUAAAGGACUCCACAUUAUUGACUUCUCCUCCAUCAUGUUUGAUCCUGGGCGGUGGAUUUAUUAAUUAAUUGAAGAGCUCGAAGGCCAAUAUGCAUGGUGGCCUGCAAUCACUCAUAAUCAAAUAAAGGUUUUUAUCCCAUUAGUAUUAGCUCAAACAUGUAAUUAACAUAUACACAAGUGAUCCUUGCAUUUUUAACCUUUAAAAGUGGAUGAAAUCUGGAGAGAAAAAAGAACCAUGCCUCUCUUCUCCAUAGAUAUGAGGGUAACGUGGGAGGGUCAUGGUGGAAGAAGAGGUCUGCCUGGUUGCUUCUAUAUGUCGUAACCCUAAAAAUAGUAUUAGAUUCAUUUGGUUAAAUUCUUGUUCACAUGUGAUAUUGUUCACGUAUACAGUAUUGUUCACAUAUAUGGAAAGUCAAUAGAUAUGGUCUAGGAAGUUAUAUCUAAGACUAUUAAAUUUUAAACGGGUCCAUUGUGACCUCUCCAUUCUUUUUAUGGAAACUUACUUAGUGAAAGUAGUGUUCACAAUACUAUUUUAAUAUACGUUAUAGUUUUUAAGUGAAAUAGUGAUAGUUGAACAAAUUAUAGUGAGUAAAAUGACAACAAAAUAUGAGAUUAAGAGUUUUAAUAGGAGCAAUGUCUCACAAUGACAGAUAAGAAUGAAGGCAAUUUUAAGGGGGAAAAAUUGCUUGACAACAAUUGGAGAAAGGCCCAAAGAGAUCAUUGAUAAUGCUGAGUGGAUUGAAAUGGAUAUCAAUGUUAUUACUAAUAUGCAUUUAGCAUUAGCCAAUAAUGUAUUAUCAAGUCCGGUGAAGAAGAAAACAACAAAAAAAAAAUUAGAUACUCUAAUAAAGUUAUAUGAGUCUAAGUCUCUAUACAAAAUGAUUUUAUUAAAAAUAAGACUUUAUACCCUUCAAAGGAAAGAAAUCACAUUGGUGAUUAACCACAUCAAUACAAUAAGAACUUAAUUUUCUUAACUCACUAUGUUGGGUCAACAAAUAAUGAAAAAUAAACAUCAAAAACUUCUACUUCAAAAUCUUUUUAAUUUGCAUGAUCAACUCAUUAUCAAUUUGUGUGAUGAAUAAAUACAGUCUAAGAAGCUUUGUCUAAAGAGAUUGAGCUUUAAAUGAGACUAUUUAUAUCCCCUCCAAUCUUUCAUUGAAACUUACUUAGUGGAAGUAUUGUUCACGCGAUAUUAUUUUUGUAUACAAUACAAUUCGUAAGUACAAAAAUGAUAGUUGAACAAAUUACAGUGAACAAAAUAAAAGCAAAAUAUAAAUUGAGAUGUUCAGUUAGAGCAAUUUCUCACUAUAAAAGAUGAGUGAAGGAAAAUUUAAGAAAAGAUAAUUGUUUGGUAGCAAUUAAAGAUAAAGCCAUGGAGAUCACUGAUAUUGCCAAGUAGAUCAAAGUUGAUAGCAAUGUUAUUGCUGAUACACAUUUAGCAUUAGCCAAUGAAGUAUUAUCAAAUGUAUAAGAGAAGAAAACUACAAAAGAGAUAUGUGAGACUCUGAUAAAGUUAUAUGAAUCCAAGUGUUUACAUAAUAAGAUUUUCUUAAAAAUGAGACUUUAUACCCUUUAAAUGAUAGAAAUCAUGUCGAUGACCAGCCACAUCAACAUAUAAGAACAUGCAGAGCUUCUACUUCAAAGUCCUUUUGAUUCGUAUGAUUAAUUCAUUAUCAACUUGACCAAUAACAUCUCAUGACUAUCUAGUCUUUGAUGAUGUUGCAAUUAUCUUUGAAGUAAAAAAUAGGUGUAAGAACAAAUGAGAUAGAAUUAAUACUUCAAAAAAAAUAAAGGCAUUAUUGAUGUCAAAAGAAAGAUCAAUGAAGUGUGGCUCCAAUAGGAGUCAAAGACAAGGAAAUUCCAAACCAAGAAGUAAGAAUACCAUGAAAUGCUACAACCAUGGCAAAAAAUGCACUUUUGGUAUGUAAAAUGUAUAAAGAAUACCCUGGAUUCAUCAAAACCUUAUGGAUGUGUUGCAAACACUUUGAAUGAUGAGGAAAUUUUAUAUAGCAAAGCAGUAAUAAUCUCUAUAAACAAAAAUAAGUUUACAGAGAUUUGCUUAAUGGAUUUGAGAGCAAGCAUAGGCUAGAAAUACUCAAGCUUGCAAGAAAGGAUGUUGGGGGGGAGGUCCACAUGGCCUCUCUAAGUUCAUUAUGGCAAUCAACAAGACCAAGAAGAGCAUCCAGAAGUGUAUCAAUAAGUUGGUUUUUCAUCGGGAUUGUGCAGCAUUUAAGGCUGAACUAGAGCCAGAGCUAGCUAGAUAUCAAGGACAGUGGAGAAGAGGAGCAUUGACAAGGAAGUACAGGAGUGAGAAGGAGUUGAUCAAAGUAGAGCAGCCUCAAAUACUCAAGAUCAGGAGACAAGCAAAAUCUGGUCCUUUGGAUACUAGGAUGCAAGAGAAUUUGAUGCAUGCCAGUAGAUGCUUGAAGCUGUCUGGUCCUCUGGAUGGGAAAGUGCAGGAGAGAUUGGUGUUUGCUUACAGGAGCCCAAAAUUAUAUGGGACUCCAGAUGGAAGGGUGCCACAAAGUUUGAUGAUGACUAAUAGGAGCCCGCAAGUACAUGGAUAUGAUUAAGGUUUCCAAUUUCCGGAGGAAUCUCACCUGUCAAAUUGUUGCAAGAGAGAUCCAUUCCAGACAUGAUGGGCCAAAUGCUUAUCGGGUAAGAAUAGGAUACACUCUUUGUUGUAAUCUCUAAAGGCUCUCGAAUCAAAUACCUAUCAGGAUAUAUUCUAAGAUAGCUGUACCAAAUACUGCUUCUAAAUCUUAGACAAGGGAGGAUAUGACCAGAAAACUUAUUAUGAGAAAGAUCAAUGAAACUCAAUUUGUCCAACUGGCACAACUGGAUGGGUAUUCUGCCUUCAAGGUUAUUAUAACCCAAGAGAAGAAAGCUCAUGUGGGAAAACUCACCAAUCCAUUCCGAAAUGUUGCCAGUCAAUUGAUUAUGGCUAAGAUCCAAUGUAAUUAGCUCGAAGGAGUUAUGAAAUGCAUCCUCCAAAGACCCCUGUAAUUUAUUUUGUGACAAAUAAACAUGAACUAGUGGCAAAGAGCUAAAACAAAAUGGCAGCUUUCCAGAGAUGUUGUUUUCUGAGAGAUCCAAAACUUGAAGAGAAGACAUAUUGCCAAACGAAGAGGGAAUGCUACCGUUGAAGUGGUUUUUAGACAUGGAUAAAAAUGUCAAACUUGGGAAAUAUGCUCCAAUUUCUGUUGGGAUGUAGCUGUCCAAGUGAUUGUCAGAAAUAUCUAAUUGUGACAAACUCACAUGGGGAUGAAUUGGCAACUGGAAAGGUCCUGAAAGAGAAUUGUUGACCAGGAAAAGUUCAUGUAGGUUUGUGUUGUUCUCUAGCAACCAAUUUGGAACCCCUCCCCUCAUUUUCAUGUUAGAAAAAUAAAUUUCCUGCAAGUUGUGUUGAUAGAAGAGGAAUUUGGGAAAGGGCAAUGCUCCAGUACCAUAUGCUUGACCAGAUAAAUGAAGUCUCUCUAGUUGGAACUUUGGGAUCAAAUUGUGCUCCUUUAGCUCUGCACAGAUUUCAUUAUUAUAACCAAAGAAGAAUUUGAGUUCCGAAUGGUUGAAAAAUGACCUCAAUGAGAUGGGGAUUUGAAAGCGAUUGUCCGAAAGUCUUAAUUCUCGGAUGGAUGUCAGAGUUGUAAGAGGAGACGAGGAAAUAUCACCCACAAAGUAAUUGGAAGAGAGAUCUAUUUGUUUCAGGGAUGUCAAAUUUGCCAAACAAUUAGGCAAGACACCGCUGAGAUUAUUAUUGCUGAUAUCAAGACUUUGAAGAUACUUCAACUCGCAUAGACCUGAGAAUUAUCAAUUUACAAAAUAUUUAACAUGAGAAAAAGAGAGAGAGAGAGAUCAGAAAGGACCAUCAGACUUACCCUCGGCUAUAGGUAUGUUGCCACUGAGUCUACAACCAUUCAACUUUAAACUCUUCAGAGUGGUAAUCCUUCCUAUUGUUUGCAGAAAGCUAUUAUCAAGAGUAGAGGAACUCAAAUCCAACUUUUGCAAAUUCUUGAGAGAAGGCAAGGCUACGAUAAAACAAACCGACAAGAAGUGAUUAGUAUAUUUUGAAGAGGAUAAAGUAAGGGAUACCAAUUAGGAGAAGCUCAAGUCUCUAUAGCCAAAUUAGACAUCAGUACAUAUUGCAACUCACCUUGAGCUAAUAUUGUUCCUUCGAAAUUAUUGUUCCCCAGAUCAAGUGUCUUGAGGUUUGGGAGUUUUGCCAAUGAUUGCAGUAAUGGAAGUGAAAUUCUUCUACCAUUUGCGGUGAUAUUAAGUAAACAAACUCUGCUUAGAUUUCCGAAACCUCUAAUACCUGCAAGAGAACAAGUUUCAAACCUUACGAGCAAAUCAAAAUCGUCCUUACUGCAUGGAAUCUUGGGUAAAAAGUUAGGUAGAUCGAUCGAUCCGUGAAGCCACCAUCGUUCAUGUGGAAUAUUUAAGUAAUACCUUCUGAGAACACAAACUCGUCAAUCUCAUUUCCGCUGAGAUACAGCUUCCUCAAGUUGCUCAAAGCUUCCAAUUCUAGGUUGCAGGAAAAUAGAACUGAUUAGGUCACAGCAAAGCCUUGGAACUCAUUUUUUGAAAUGGAAUAACGUGUGAGCAAUAAUUGGUUUAUAAACCUUUCAUGUUGAAUGUUCCUUUCAGAUGGUUCUUUGCCAGAUCGAGAUUCUUGAGAGAUGAAAGACCCUUGAAGGAUGAUAAGAUACUGUUAUCAAAGCGAUUACCUCCCAAAUCAAGAUACUCCAAAUUGCUCAGUUUCAGCACUUCAUCCUCACCACCUGUAAGAAAUAAUUGUACAAGGUUUGAUGUAAAAAUAGCGAAACAGUGAAAAGAUAAUGCAUAACUCAAAAAUCUUUCAUACCAUGAAGGGAUUUAAACCCUUCAAUGUGAUUGCUCUCAAUACGCAGAUUCCUUAAGUUUGUCAGAUUAUUCAAUCCUGGCAAUACGUAGAACAUAAAUUAAUGCUAUAUAUAAUUGCUUUGGAAUCAUGAUUGUGUUUGAGACAAUUAGUUUAAAAACUGAGAUGAGAAGAGCCAGGCUCACCUUCCACGCUAAUUGUUCCUUCGAUUUCAUUAUCGUGUAGAGAUAAAUAUUUCAAAGAUGAAAGACCACCUAAGGAUGAAAAGAUGCUGCUGUUGAAUUUGUUUUGCCCUAACUGGAGUAUCUCCAAAUUUCGACAACUCGAUGUGUGCUGGAGUUGCAGUGGACUUGUUUCCAUUCGCAGCAGUUAGCAAUAGCAUCUCUUUCCCAGGAGAGCAGGAAUCCGCCAUUUGGGUAACUAAAGGCAUCUUUGAUUUGCAAGAGAGCAAGUCUUUCUUCCUCCAAGCAACCAUGGCACCGCCACCCUUGUAUUAAAACCACCAAAUUUAUAAUCAUUAUCACUGCUAAACACAGCCUGUUCAACUCCAUUUGAAGAACUUUGCUAUUAGUAAAUUCUCAGAAAAAAAAUACAAAAUACACCUCUGUCGCCAUAGAAAGUAACUGUCAGAGGUUCUCUUAUAGGAUAGGAUAGCGCAAAGCUUACGUUUUUACAAGACCACGGUGUAGAGAAAUUAACGAGAAUCACUCCGCGUAAUGUUCAACAGAUUUUCUUUUUAUUGUUUAUUUUUUAUUUUUACUUUCAAGUACGUAUGCAUAAGAUCUACUUUGUUUGACUUCUCAUUUAUUGGUUUCAGACUUGGCAUGCGUUUUCUUUAAGAAAAAGAGGAAAAAUUAGAUAUAUGCCACUAUUAACAGCUUUCUUUUCUUUUGUCUUAGCAGGUGCGAGCCAUCAUCAGGUCAAGCGAUGAAUGAAUACAGCAACCUUCUUCUUUGUCAUAGCGUGUAAUUUUCCACAUCCACUAACAAGACUGACAGCCACUGCCUUAUUCUCGGCCGUAGGGAACACGUCGCGCGCGGUGACCAGUUCUUCUGUUUCUUGUAAAAAGUAAGAGUAAAAUGCAAGAUUUUUCGUGUUCUUCAGCAGUCCCCAGAUCUUGGGGUCAGGGUUUCAUUAAUCCACCUGUGGGUUCUAUUAUUAUAGCUUGUUGGCAAAUUGGUUUCUCUGUUUUUUUUUUCCUUUGACAAUUGGGUUGGGCCGAGACAUGCAAUGUCUUCUCUUUUUUUCCCUUCGGAAGUUCGGGCUGGGCGGAGACAUGCAAUGUCUGUUUCUUUUACUUUGGAUACUUGGGCUGGGCCAUCUCAAAUCAUUUGGAAGCCCAUGAAUAUCAUCUUAACUCUCCAUAUUUUCGACCGCAUUUGCAAGUCUUUUCAUCUCUUUCUAUGGCCUCAUAAAAGUUCAUGAUACAUAACCUGCUAAUUUCAAAUCCCAGAUCUGUAAGGCUCUGUUUGUUUGUAAAAAAAUAAUUUUUUUAAAAAAAUAAUUUUUUUAAAAAAGUAAAUUUUAAGAAAAUAAAGUAUUUUCUGAUGUUCGGUAAUGUAAUGAAAAUAAGUUGGAAAACACUUUUCCAGUAUUUGGUUAUGUUAUGGAAAAUGAGCUGGAAAAUAAUUUAUUACUGUUUUAUUUUUCUCAAGUUUAUUAAAAUAAUGAGGAACAAAUCUUACAAAUUAAAAGGUUGAAUGAGAAUGAAAUUAAAAAAAAAAAAUUUAUAAAUUAGCUCAAAUAAAUUAAUAAUAAUCAAAAUAAUAGAGAUCAAAUCUUAAAAAAAAAAUGAAAGAUGAAGAAAUUAAAAUAACAAUAAUUAACAUUUCAUAAAUUAUGUCAAAUAAAAUAAGUAACAAUCAAAAGAAUAAAGAUCAAAUUUGAUAUAAUAAGCAAAUAAUAUGACAUUUCUAAAUUUUUUACAACUUUCAGAAAGUGUUUUCCGUCCAAAUUUUCCAGAAAAACACUUUCUUGUAAACCAAGCCAAAUUUUCCUUUGACUGGAAAGUGUUUUUCAUUGACUAACUUUUCUAAUGACAAACAAACACAAGAAAGUUUGGAAAGUAAUUUCUCGAAAAUCACUUUUCAGGAAACAAACAUGGCCUAAGUUUCAGUGUAUUAUUAUCUCAGUAGUUGUUUUUUACUUGAAAAUAUAUUAAAAUAAUAUUUUGUAUUGUUUUAAAAUUUAUUUUUAAUAUUAAUACGCUUUAAAAUUACAAAAAAAAACUUGAAACUAAUAUAUAUAUAUAUAUAUAUAUAUAUAUAUUAUUUUAAAAAUAUUUUUAAAAUACAAAAACAAAUAUAUUUUUAAAAUUUUAUUAUGAACAGGUUCAAGUUUGACUAAACUAAUGUUUCGUACCGUCCAAUAACAAAUCUAACACUAAUAUAAUGGGACUGUAUGACUAGUAAUGGAAUUAAUCUGCAAAGCAUAAAUGAAAAGAAAUUAUUCGUUUUGUUGAACGUUAAAGCAGAGCUUCGUUGCAAGGACAAAGUUGCAGUCUUGUUAAAUUGAAAAAAAAUUAUUGCUUUUUUAUUAUUUGAUAAGUUAAUGUUAAAAAUUGUAAAUAAUAUUUGAUAAGUUGCAGUCUUCGCUGCAAGGAUUCCACUCGUAGCUAGACUCUUUGAAUUUUCUACUACCAUUAACAAGACUGACACUGAUGUCACUGUUUUUGCCGUAGGGAAGGCAUUGCAUGCGAUGACCAUUUCAUUUGUCUAUGUCGCUAUUAUUGUAGAAAACAAAAAAAGUAUUUCAGAAUCCUUUUUAUUUAAAAUCCUUCCAACCUCAUACCAGCCUAGUCCCAAGUUACGGAGGAAACGCUAACAGCCUAGCACUUUCCACGAAGAAUAUGAAUUUGGAAAACAAGCCGAAAGAGAGGACUUUGACUAACAGCCUCGCACUUUCCACGAAAAAUAUGAAUUUGGAAAGUAAGCCGAAAGAGAGGACUUUGUCUAACAGCUAGCACUUUCCACGAAAAAUAUGAAUUUGGAAAGUAAGCCGAAAGAGAGGACUUUGUCUGGCUCAACAUCAUAUUAUUUUAAUACCUAUUUCUGACUGAACUUUUAUAUAUAUAUAUAUAUAAUUAAAGAAACGAUUAGUGAAACCUAAAUGAUUAGACAGUCUUUUUUUUUUUUUAAAUGAAACUAUAUUAUUUUAAUUUUUUUAAAAGAAAUAUUUUGAAUGUCAUAAAUAAAAACAUUAAGAACCCUAUAGAAGAUUUGUAGAACGAACUUUGAAAGAUAUAUUAAAAAAAAAAAGUGAAAAACCAUUUUGUAAAACCUAUGACCAAGCCAAUGAAAUAAGUGGCAAGAUGCUGGUUUUUCAAAAAUUUCAUUAGUUUCAAUUUUUUAUUCGAUUGUUUUGGAAUAUUUUCAACAUUCUUCUUGUAAAAAUCUUCACUGCAACUUUUGGUCCACAAAGGGAUCGUUUGGUAGUGCGUUUCAACCUGCUUUUCGCUAAAUUUUGAUUAUUUUUUUUUUUUGCUAAAAUUGAGUUCGGUUUGUACUUUUUGGAUCGUUUUGAUCAUAGUUUUAAAACUCGGACCGGCCCGGCGGGUUGACCCGGGACCCGGCCGACCCGGGCAUGGGACCGGUCCGGGCGAAGGCCAAAACCCGCUUGGGAAUUGGCCCGGCCAGACCCGGUCGACUCGGGACCCGGUUGACCCGGCAAGACCCGGCCACAAACCCAUUGACUUUUUGUUUUUUUUUGCUAAAACGACGUCGUUUUGAUUUUUUAAAAAUAAAUUUUGACCCGGUCGAGACCCAGUGACCCGAUCAAAACCCGGAACUCGGGGCUUGGACCGGGCCGGGUCUUAAAACUAUGGUUUUGAUGUGCUGAUGUCAAAAAUGAUUUUUAAAAAAUGAAAAAACAUCAUUAGCAUGUAUUUCGACACGAAAAGCUAUUUAAAAAGCAACCGCUACCACACUGUCAAACACGCUCAAAGCAAAGGAUUCCACUCGUAGCUAGACUCUUUGAAUUUUCUACUACCAUUAACAAGACUGACACUGAUGGCACUGUUUUUUCCGUAGGGAAGACGUUGCAUGCCAUGACCAUUUCAUUUAUCUAUUUCUCUAUUAUUGUAGAAAAAAAAAAAAGUAUUUCAGAAUCCUUUUUAUUUAAAAUCCUUCCAACCUCAUACCAGCCUAGUCCCAAGUUACAGAGGAAACGCUAACAGCCUAGCACUUUCUGUUAACAUGUAAUUAGUUGAAUUAGAGGGUAGUUUUCUAUAUAUAAAAGACAUACUCUAUAGAAGUCCUGAAAGGAUAUACAUUGCAGUAUUCCUUUCAGAAUAGGAAAGAUGUAACCAACAUAUAUAUUUGCCUAUAUAAGGCAUCCCUCCACAGGAGAAGAAGAAGAUGCAGAGGAUACAUCCAACCCUAAAGCCUUAAAAGUAACAUGGUAUCAGAGCAAGGUUGAAAGCUAAAAUCUUCCUUUAACUUUUCAGCCGCCACAUUAAUCUUCUCCUGGGAAUUGGUCUUGAAACAAGAGACCAACCAUGGAUGACACAAAUACUUCUAUUAUCCCUAUAAACCAAACUUCAUUCUCUGCUGAAACACCUAACCUAAACACCUUACCCUUUGGAUUUAAAUUGAAUGAGACAAACUUCAAAAUCUGGUCACGUAUGCUUGAACUGCAUGCUGCUGGAUUGAACAAACUUGGCUACUUAACUGGGCAGAAUGCUAGAGUGGAAGAAGGAAAUUUUGGUUACUCAAAGUGGUGCACUGAAGAUGCAGUGGUACGAGGAUGGUUGUUGAAAACCAUGGAGCCUCAUCUUAUUGGUUUAUUUAUAGACCUGUCAUCAGCCAAGGAAAUCUGGGAUAGUGUCACUCAAACCUUUUAUGAUGGGGCUGACGAGUCACAAUUCUAUGAGCUACGCUGCAAAGCCACGAGGACGAAACAGAAUGGGCGUCCAGUUAACUUGUAUUACGCAGAGCUGAAUAGUGUAUGGCAGGAAAUUGAUAAGCGACGACCAAUUAAGAUGAUAUGUGCUGCAGAUCUUAGAACCAGACAAGAAGAAAUUCAAAAGGACCGGAUCUAUGACUUUCUUGCAGGUUUGGAUGAAGUUUUUGAUUCAAUACGCAGUGAUCUCCUUCGAAAAAAAUCUGUUCCAAGUAUUGAAGAGUGCUUCAAUACAAUUCGACGGGAGGCUCAGCGACAAGUCACCAUGCUGGGAGCAAAAAACACUGGUGAAGGUUCAUUAAUUGCAAUGAUUUCCAAAUCCACCACCCCUUCUAACAUGCGCACUCUUCGAGCUAUUGAGGAAGCAGAAAAAGACAAGUUGCGUUGCAGCCAUUGUAAUGGAAGUCGCAAUACCAGAGACACUUGUUUUGAGAUUCAUGGCUACCCUGACUGGUUUCUAGAAAAACGGAAGCAAAGUAAAGCAAGAAGUAAUAAACGUCCAGUCCAAGCAAAAUUAACCACUGCAACAAAAAUUCCUUCCAGUUUUGCUGCCAUGGCAAUAAGCAAAAAAAGACCACACUAAACCGGAUGAAUUACUCUCCUUAGCGAAAACUGACCAGACUUCAGCGACAGGUAAAACUGGAGUGGUUUUGUCGACAUCCACGGUUCAUGAUACAGGUUGGAUCAUUGACUCGGGUGCCACAGAUCAUAUGACGUAUAACAAAUCAUUAUUUCAAUACAUGACUCCCCCGUCUAAGGAAAAGGUCAUGACAGCCAAUGGGGAGUCUACCCCAGUCAUUGGAGCAGGAUCAAUUGUUCUAACUCCUGAUCUUUCACUACAUAAUUGUUUACUUGUCCCUGCACUUUCAAAUCAUUUACUGUCUGUUAGUCAAAUUACAGAAGAAUUGGAUUGUGUGGUAUUAAUGUUUCCCACGUUUUGCUUACUUCAGGAUAUCCGGACUCAAGCGAUCAUUGGACGUGGUACUAAGAGGAAGGGGUUAUACUAUGUAGAUGACGUAGCUUCAGGUCACGUCCAUCAAGUUCAGAGUCACAAUGGUAAUAAUCACAAGAAAAUUUGGUUAUGGCAUCGUCGGCUGGGUCAUGCAUCCUUUGGCUACUUAAAAAAAUUAUUUCCUUCCCUCUUUGAUGACAUUCCGGAUCCAAGUUCCUCUCUUAAGUGUAAUGUUUGCAUCUUGGCCAAGAGCCAUCGAACUUCAUAUCCUGUAAACUUGAAUAAAAGAACAAAGCCUUUUGAAUUGAUCCACUCUGAUGUUUGGGGACCUGCUCCAAUUACUUCCCAAUCUGGAAUUCGAUGGUUUCUUACAUUUGUCGAUGAUUGCACCAGAAUGACUUGGUUAUAUACUAUGCGACACAAGAGUGAUGUGCGUAAUAUAUUCCCAAUUUUUUAUCGCAUGGUGUGCACUCAGUUCUCCCUGCCGGUGAAGAUUAUUCGAUCAGACAAUGGUGGAGAAUAUCUUAACUCUGAACUCUUGAGUUUCUUUCAAAACAAUGGUAUUCUCCAUGAGACUACUUGCCCGCGCACUCCACAACAAAAUGGUGUGGCAGAACGCAAAAACAGGCAUAUUCUUGAAACUACUAGAGCUCUUCUCAUUGGUGCCCAUGUCCCUCAACAUUAUUGGGUUGAUGCAGUAACCUAUGCUGUGUAUCUCAUCAACCGGAUGCCAUCCCAAGUCCUCUCCUUCAGCACUCCCUUGCAGACUCUCACUCAACACAUUCAGAUUCCAUCCCUCCUACACUUAGAACCCCGUGUGUUUGGAUGUGUAGCUUAUGUUCACCUGCAGAAAACUCAGCGCACAAAACUGGAACCAUGCGCAGUACGGUGUGUCUUUCUUGGUUUCAAUCCUCACCAAAAGGGAUACCGGUGCUACCAUCCUUCUUCUCGCCAGAUGCAUGUCAGUAUGGAUGUUACCUUCUCUGAAACAGAAUAUUUUUUCCAUAUGAAUCCAUCCAGCUCUAGUCCUCAGGGGGAGCUGCAAUAUGAUGCCUACAACUGGAUUGAUCUUCAGUUGAUUCAGGGAAGGAAACACAGAUUCAGGGGAAGGAAAUACGGAGCAGCAGCAGUCAACUUCAGGGGAAGAAAUGGAAACCAGUACACACACAAUUAGUAAUGUUGGGGAAGGAAAUACAGAGCCCAGCUCCAGAACAACUGCAACGGGCAAUGCAGGGAAAGAACACAUAGAGUACAAUACACAUAGCAGCAGUGAUGCAGAAGAAGAAUACAUGCAUGAUGAAAUAACCCCUUCCUCUCCACAAAUCCAUGUUCAAGAUCGAUCGGAUAUCCAUGAGGUAAGUGACACUGAAAGCCCUUCCUCUUUCCCUUUAUUAUCUGCCCCAUGCUACUCUCCCUCCUAGACAGACAGAACCGUGGAAAGGCCCCUGACAGGUACUCACCGAAUGGAAAAGCAAAAUAUGCAAUCACACAGUAUGUCUCUACACACAAACUACCUCCACAGCAUCAAGCCUUCAUAAGUGAGAUGGCGAAUAUAAGAAUACCUACAAAGGUUGAGGAUGCCUUACAACACCCGAAAUGGGCAGAAGCAAUGGAGGCUGAAAUGAGUGCAUUACAAAGAAAUGACACAUGGAGUAUUGUAUCACUCCCUCCAGGAAAAAAACCAGUGGGCUGCAAGUGGAUAUUCAACCUCAAACAUAGAGCAGACGGCACAAUUGAUCGGUUCAAGGCAAGGCUAGUAGCAAAGGGGUACACACAAUCAUUCGGCAUUGACUAUCAAGAAACUUUUGCUCCAGUUGCAAAAAUGAACACCAUCAGAGUCUUGUUGUCUUUAGCAGCAAAUUUCAGUUGGCCUUUGAAGCAAUUUGAUGUGAAAAAUGCAUUUCUCCAUGGGGAUCUGGAAGAAGAAGUCUAUAUGCAACUUCCACCUGGGUUUAACAGCUCACAAUCUAGUGGAAAAGUGUGUAGAUUACGAAAAGCAUUGUAUGGCUUGAAGCAAUCGCCAAGAGCAUGGUUUGGGAGAUUCACAGAAGCUAUGAAACGAAUUGGUUAUCACCAAGGUAACUCUGAUCACACUCUAUUCAUCAAACAGAAGAAUGGUAAAGUUACACUGCUCAUUAUUUAUGUAGACGAUAUGAUCGUAACUGGUGAUGACACAGAUGAAAUAAAAAAGCUACAAGAAUGUUUGUCUACCGAAUUCGAAAUGAAAGAUUUAGGAGGACUGAAAUAUUUUUUGGGAAUUGAAGUUGCAAGAACUAAAGAUGGUAUAUACUUGUCACAACGAAAGUAUAUACUGGACCUAUUAUCUGAAACGGGUAUGCUAGAAUGCAAACCAGUAGAGUCUCCUAUUGUUCAAAAUCAUCGAUUGGCCAUUCACCCAGAUCAGGUACCAACAAACAAAGAAAGAUACCAGCGAUUGGUAGGGCGGUUAAUUUAUUUAUCUCACACUCGCCCAGACAUUGCCUAUGCGGUUAGUGUGGUAAGUCAGUUUAUGCAUGCUCCAAGUGAAGAUCAUAUGACAGCUGUAAUGAGAAUUCUGAGUUAUCUAAAAGGGGCUCCAGGAAAAGGAUUGACAUUUAAAAGACAUGGAACUAUGGAAGUGAAAGGAUUUACUGAUGCAGAUUGGGCAGGAAAUCUCACUGACCGGAGAUCCACCUCUGGCUAUUUUACAUUUGUUGCAGGAAAUCUUGUCACAUGGCGAAGUAAAAAACAAAAUGUGACAGCAAGGUCCUCAGCAGAAGCAGAAUAUAGAGGGAUGGUACAUGGAAUAUGCGAACUGUUAUGGCUCGGGACCUUACUCACAGAAAUAGGUUUUGAACCCAAAGACCCUAUGUUACUAUACUGUGACAAUCAGGCAGCACGAGAGAUAGCUAAUAAUCCAGUACAGCAUGAUCGAACUAAACACAUUGAGGUAGAUCGACACUUCAUCAAGGAAAAGUUACUUCUAAAGUUAGUGGACAUCCCUUUCGUCAGAUCAAGUGAGCAACUAGCAGAUAUUCUAACCCAUGCAGUCCCUGCAGAAGCUCUUCAUAAGUCUCUAGACAAGUUAGGCUUAGAAGAUAUCUUCGCACCAACUUGAGGGGAAGUGUUAACAUGUAAUUAGCUGAAUUAGAGGGUGGUUUUCUAUAUAUAAAAGACAUACUUUAUAGGAGUCUUUAAAGGAUAUACAUUGCAGUAUUCCUUUCAGAAUAGGAAAGAUGUAACCGACAUAUAUAUUUGCCUAUAUAAGGCAUCCCUCCACAGGAGAAGAAGAAGAUGCAGAGGAUACAUCCAACCCUAAAGCCUUAAAAGUAACACUUUCCACGAAGAAUAUGAAUUUGGAAAAUAAGCCGAAAGAGAGGACUUUGUCUAUGGCCCGUGGAAAAUUAUGACAUUUGAUUGUGAUAUUGCAAAUUGCAGUCCAACGAUCUUAUUUAUAAAGAGAAAUAAUCAAGUUUUUAUAAGUUAAAGCCUCUACUUGGCUAGGCUUUUCUACCUCAAUUUACUUCAUUUCAUUUAGUGUGAGAGAAAUAAAAGUUUUUCAUAAGAUUUAUUGAUCUCAUCGGGAUGUUUGCAAGAAUAUUUUUUAUUUCAUUCAAUCCUGUUUGAUAGAGCUCGAAUCAAGUUUCAUAUCCUAGCUACUUUCAGGUCCAUUUGGUGUCUUUGACAGUCAUGAAAUAUAAUUAUUCUUGCUAAUUUCAAGAUUUUGUUUAACAUAGUUUUAUAUGUAAUCAACCGGUCAAUUGACUCAUCUACUAUUUAUCUUCACAAUCUAUUUUUGUUUUUUUUUCAGUUUUUUUUAGCUUUUGCUUUGUUUUUUUGUUAUUUUUUGUCAAGUAGACUGGGUAGCAAGCAUUUAUACUUCUUGAGGUAUGCUCCUCGUGCUCUAUAUAGUUUCUUCCAUUUAAUACAAUAACUUUUAUCCGAAAAUAAAGAAACAAUUUUGUUUUGCUAUACAUUGCAAGUUUUAAUGUCUAUUUAAUAUGUAUGCUAUGAUUUUAUUUUGAUGAAGAUGAACUUAAUUAUAUAAAAAUGCAAGCAAUCUAAACUAAAUUAUAGAUCGAUAACAACAGUUAUCCAAUUCAAAAAAACCACUCAAAGAUUUGAGCUGAACCAUUACACUAAUGCAAAAUUAUUCAUCAAAGAAAUUUAGAAGUGCAUUUUCAAGGAAACCAAAAAUAAUGGAUACAUGAACCUUGUUCGGUAUACUUCUAGCUAAAACAGGAUAUCAAUCAUCGAUAACUAUCCUCCUCGGUUGCAUUUUAGCUGUCAUAUGGAGAGGAAAACUUUAUCAUCAUAACUAGUAUUAACAUGAAUUAGAUGACUGUUGAUUUCCUGGGUUGGCACUCAAACUUGCAGCGCAUUGUGCAAAUUCUAAAAAAGUGAAUUUACAUAGCCGGAAUAUCUACAAUGUCAUGUGCUUAAGGAGAAUGGCUUCCCAUGGCCUCAACUUAUCAUAUUCCACUUCGAGCAGCUUAGUGAUUUGAAGUUUGAGGAAGCCUGAAAGAACCCCCGGCAUAAAGCAUCUCAUAGACAGGCCUUAUCCUCAUAGUUAGAACUAGUUAUAUGCCCCACGCGACGCCGCGAGUCAAUUAUUUUUUGUAUUUCAAAAAUAGUUAAGAUCUAAAAAUAUUAGGUUUUUUUGCAAAGUUAUACCUAGUAAAACGCAGUGCAGUUCACAGCAAAACACUGAUUCCUUUUAGGUAUAUAUAAUAAUAAUAAUAAUAAUAAUAAUAAUGCUCACGAUGGAGCCCAAACCGCAGGCACCAGCCAGAACCAAGAAGGUGAGCCAUGAUAGCUGAGAAGGAUUAGAAUGGUGAAGGUUAUUCCGCACGGCGACUCUCUACAAAUCUGUCUCCAAGAGCAUGAUUAUUUGCACUUUUGCUAUUUGAUAACAAUAUCAAAGAAGGGAGACAUGAUAGCUGAGAAGGAUUAGAAUGGUGAAGGUUUUGAAAAAAAAUGAAAGAAAGAGUGAAAUUAAUUGAAAUCUUGUUUUCAUUUAACUAUAUUAUUUAAAUUAAUUUGAAUCUUGAUUUUUAUUUAAAUAUAUUAUUAACAAAUAAAAAGACGAUGUUGCUAAGUUAGAAUUGACAUUGGUAGGAUUUGAGAGUUUCUUGAUAAAUAACCUUCUCAAGUUUCACCUGACCCACAAUCCAAGAUUUGCUCCAGAUCAACCUUGGAUAGGGUUCAAAAACCAUGGUGAAAAGUAAAAGGAACGUAACAGAGAGACGAGAGUCAUGUAUGUUACCAGCCAUUGAAUUAAUAUUGAUGUAAAACAAAAACUUGGGAAUUUCCUCGAAGAAUAAACGGGACAAUAAGCCAAAUAAAGAAGAAUGAAUGCAGCAACCUUCUUCUUUGUCAUAGCGUGUAAUUUUCCUCAACCACUAACAAGGCUGACAGCCACUGCAUUAUUUUCGGCCGUAGAGAACACGUCGCGCGCGAUGACCAGUUCAUCUGUCUCUUGUAAAAACUAAGAGUAAAAUGCAAGAUUUUUCAAUGUGUUCUUCAGCGGUCCCCAGAUCUUGGGGUCGGGGUUUCAUCAAUCAACCUGUGGGUUGUAUUAUAAUAGCUUGUUGACAAAUUGGUCUCUCUGUUUUAAAUGCAAAAACAAACAUGUUUUUAAUAGCUGCGGUUAAUUCUUUUUUUAAAUUUUUAUUAUAAAUCGUUGCAAGUUUGACAGAUCUAAUAUUUCAAACCGUCCAAUAACAAAUCUAACAGUAAUAUAAUGGGACUAUAUGACUAGUAAAGGAACUAAUCUACAAAGCAUAAAUGAAAAGAAAUGAUUCGUUCUGUUGCAACUUUGCUCGGUAGAAAUGUUAGAAAAAAAGCAGAGCUGGGCUGCAAGGACAAAGUUGCAGUCUUGUUAAAUUGAAAACAUUUUAUUGCUUUUUUUAUUAUUUGAUAAGUUAAUGUUAAAAAUUUUAAACAAUACUUUAAUAUGUUUUCAAGUAAAAAAAUUUACACCAUAAUAUCAUACAUUUAUUUUAUAUUAAAAUACAAUAUUAAUUAACUAAUUAUAUUAUUAUUAUUAAAUUCAAUUUGACUCAAGAUCAUAUUAUUUUAUUAUUAUUAUUUGAUAAGUUAGUAUUGAAAAUAUAAAAAAUUAAAAAAAUAUUUUAAUAUAUUUUUAAGUAAAAAACAUUUACAUCAUAAUAUCAAACAUGCAUUUUAUAUUAAAAUACAAUAUUAACUAGCUGAUUAUAUUAUUAUUAUUAUUAUUAUUAAAUUCAAUUUGGCUCAACAUCAUAUUAUUUUAAUACCUAUUUCUGACUGAACUUUUAUAUAUAUAUAAAAAGAAACGAUUAGUGAAACCUAAAUGAUUAGACAGUCUUUUUUUUUUUUUAAAUGAAACUAUAUUAUUUUAAUUUUUUUAAAAGAAAUAUUUUGAAUGUCGUAAAUAAAAACAUUAAGAACCCUAUAGAAGAUUUGUAGAACGAACUUUGAAAGAUAUAUUAAAAAAAGAAAAGUGAAAAACCAUUUUGUAAAACCUAUGACCAAGCCAAUGAAAUAAGUGGCAAGAUGCUGGUUUUUCAAAAAUUUCAUUAGUUUUCAAUUUUUUAUUCGAUUUUUUUGGAAUAUUUUCAACAUUCCUCUUGUAAAAAUCUUCGCUGCAGCUUUUGGGGAGUGGUGGUCCACAAAGCAAAGGAUUCCACUCGUAGCUAGACUCUUUGAAUUUUCUACUACCAUUAACAAGACUGACACUGAUGGCACUGUUUUUUCCGUAGGGAAGACGUUGCAUGCGAUGACCAUUUCAUUUGUCUAUUUCUCUAUUAUUGUAGAAAAUAAAAAAAAAGUAUUUCAGAAUCCUUUUUAUUUAAAAUCCUUCCAACCUCAUACCAGCCUAGUCCCAAGUUACGGAGGAAACGCUAACAGCCUAGCACUUUCCACGAAGAAUAUGAAUUUGGAAAAUAAGCCGAAAGAGAGGACUUUGUCUAACAGCCUUUUAAUUGUGAUAUUGCAAAUUGCAAUCCAACGAUCUUAUUUAUAAAGAGCCUCUGACCGUUGUUUUUCGAUACAUAAUUUCAUCGAGGAGUCCAAAUGGGUUUAAACAGGUUCUCUUCUUUAGCAGGGACACUGAUGAUUUAUGCUAUGGUUUUGUCAGAAAGCUGGUGGUCAUGUCACGGGUGCUUAGACGAAGAGACAAGUGCUCUCUUGCGGAUUAAAAGCUCCUUUAGUUACCCAAGCGGCACAUUCCUUCAAUCUUGGGGAAAAGUAGCCGACUGUUGUUCUUGGAAAGGCGUUGACUGCAAUUUCACUACAGGACGAGUUGUCGAACUUGAUCUUCCAGGCAUAAGGGAAGAGGGAUUGGGAGAUUUGUACCUAAAUGUCUCUUUGUUUCGUCCCUUCCAAGAACUGCAAUCUCUUUAUUUAAGUCGAAAUUUUAUAGUUGGCUGUGUUGAGAAUGAAGGUUUAUCUCUUGUUUGCGUGCUACUGCAAUUUCAACAGCAAAAAGAAAGAGAAUAGAUUCUAUAUUUUUCAAGCUACUGAUUGAAAUGCCCAUGCAGGUUUUGAAAGACUAUCCGGACUUGACAGCUUGGAGAUUCUCAAUUUAGACUUUAACAAAUUCGACAACAGCAUACUUUCAUCCCUUGGUGGGCUUUCCUCUUUGAGAAUCCUGUCUCUAUAUGGUAACCAACUCAAAGGAGCAAUUAGUGUUGAUGGUAAUUAAGCUUGAUCACUUCUCUCCUUUUCUUUCUCAAAUAAAACCAUGUUAAUUACUGCCCUUUUUUAAUUGUUGUACUUGGUACAAUUAUAUUUGGCCAGAACUGAAUAAUCUAACAAGCUUGCGGUCGUUGGAUUUUGGUGGCAAUGAAAUUGAAAGCUUUAAAUCCAUUCAUGGUAUGAAAGAGUUGUGAGUUGAUUGAGCAUUUGUUUUCACACAUAAGUACUCCAUUAUCCUUUCAGGUUACAUGAAAGCUUAUGGUAUUUUUAUAGGUACUGGUGACGACUUACUGAGGUUAAGAAAUCUGGAAGAACUUUUUUUGGAUUAUAAUCGCUUUAAUGACAGUGCCUUAUCAUCCCUCAAGGGUCUUUCAUCUCUCAAAUCCCUGGAUAUAGGGUACAACCAACUGAAAGGAUCAUUCAAUGUGACUGGUAACCUCACCUUUUUCGAUUCCUAGAAACCAAUCUAUGAUUUUUGCUGUGAUGUAAUAUUAAAUUUCUGUUUUUCGACAACCUAGAGCUGGAUGCUUUGAUCAACUUAGAGAGCCUGGAUCUAGCGGGAACAAGAUUGACGAAUUUGUGUUAUCCAAAGGUAUUGAUUGCUUUCCACACUGAUUGAUGGUAGCUUUACCUUUAUCAACCUAAAAUCUCAUUAAUUGAAUUGUAUUUUCGAGGAUGAUUUUGCUCAGAAUAAAAGCUCAGAAAGGUUUUAAAAUUUGUUUUACUUCUGCUGUCCCCUGCAGAUACUAGAGGUUUUGGAAAUGUAAGCCUCAUUUCAUUAUCUAAUAGCACCUUAAAUGGAAGAGCUCUUCCAUUUGCAUUGCUGCAAUCGUUGACGAAAUUCCCAAACCUCAAGACCCUUUAUUUGGAUGAGAAUAAUCUUGAAGGAAGUUUCGGAACAACAUUAGAUAAAGGUAAUUUGUGGUACUGAUGCCUAAAAGCGAUCCUGAAUAUCUGUUAAUUGUUCUUUUUUUCUUUGUAAACGUGCUUUAAAUCAUCUUUUCCUAGUUAUAGGAAUUUAAUUGAUUGUAGCGGGGACAUUAUAAUGGAGCUUCUUGUUGGUUUUAUCAUCUUGUUUCCUUAUCAUUAUCCGGCUCUUGAAUACCGAGCAUAAUUUCUUGUGGGUUUGAUUAUUGUAGACUUGGCUUCUCUCAAGAAUUUAGAAGAGUUGGAUUUGAGUUCCUCCACUGUCGAUAAUAGCUUUCUGCAAACAGUUGGGAAGAUUACUACUCUAAAGAGUUUAAGAUUGGAUGACUGUCGACUCAAUGGCUCCAUCCCUAAAGCCAAAGGUAAGUCUGACCACCUCUCCCCUCCUUAGGCGUUCUGCUUCUUCUCUGACUAAAAUUUUUAUGAAUCAAUAAAUUCUCAGGCCUAUGUCAGUUAAAGCAUCUCCAAAAUCUAUAUAUCAGGUGGAAUGAUCUCAGUGGUGCUUUGCCCUGGUGUUUGGCAAAUUUGACAUCCCUUCAAGGAUUAUAUUUGUCUAACAAUAACUUUAUUGGAGACAUUUCCUUCUCUCCUCUUACAAGUCUCACAUCCAUCCGAGAGUUAUCACUUUCAGACAACCACUUUCAGAUCCCUGUCUCAUUGAGCUCAUUUCUCAACCAUUCACAACUCAAGGAUUUCGAUGGUAGGAAUAACAAAAUAUAUGUUGAAGAAUUAGAGGAGCAUAAUUUGGCCCCAAAGUUCCAAUUAGAGCGUCUUAGUUUAUCUGGCAAUGGAUAUGGUGGAGCAUUUUCCUUUCCCAAAUUCCUCCUCCAUCAAUACAGCCUCCAAGAAAUUGAUUUUUCUAACCUGAAAUUGAGGGGAAGGUUUCCUAUUUGGUUGUUAGAGAACAACACAAACCUAAAUUAUCUCCAUUUGGUCAACAAUUCUCUUUCAGGGACUUUUCAAUUGCCAAUUCAUCCUCAUCAGAAUUUGUCUGAAUUAGAUAUUUCUAACAAUAACUUCGAAAGCCACAUUCCUAGAGAAAUAGGAUCAUAUUUUCCAAGUUUAACAUUUUUAUCCAUGUCUGAUAACCACUUCAGUGGUCGCGUUCCCUCUUCAUUUGACUUUCUGUUGUAUCUUCAAGUUUUGGACCUCUCAAAUAACAACAUCUCUGGAACCUUACCAUCUUUCUUUAACUCUUCAAACCUCCUGCAUGUUUAUAUGUCACGAAAUAUGCUACAAGGAUCCCUCGAACAUGCAUUUCAGAAAUCCUUUGAGCUAAUAACGUUGGAUCUUAGCCAUAAUCAUUUGACUGGUAGCAUUCCAAAAUGGAUUGGUGAGUUUUCCCAACUGAGCUUUCUUCUCUUGGGUUAUAAUAAUCUUGAUGGCAGUAUACCCACGCAAUUGUGCAAGUUGAACGAAUUAAGCUUCAUUGAUCUUUCUCAUAAUAAUUUUUCUGGUCAUAUUCUACCUUGCCUAAGAUUUAAAAGCAUUAUUUGGUUCAUCUCCAAAAGAUAUCUUUAUGUUGAUCUUCUAGAACCAUUGGUUAGUGCAACAAAGAGUCUGUCUAUCUUAUCCGCCAGUAUUUUGUACUACAUGACCGGAUUGGAUCUCUCCUGCAACAGUUUGUCAGGUGUGAUUCCUCUGAAAUUGGGAAUCUCAACCACAUUCAUGUAUUGAACCUGUCCAACAAUCAUUUAAUAGGCCCAAUCCCACAAACUCUUUCAAAUUUGAGUGAAGUUGAGAGCUUGGACCUUUCCAAUAACAGCUUGAAUGGGGAAAUCCCUCCUCAACUUGUACAAUUGCAUUUCUUGCCUAUUUUAGUGUAGCCACAAUAACCUGUCUGGUAAGACUCCUGAGAUGGUUGCACAAUUCUCAACAUUCAAUAAGAGCAGCUACGAGGGAAAUCCCUUACUUUGUGGACCACCACUACUUAACAGUUGCACCAAAGAAGUACCACCACCACCACCACCUGGGCCUUCUACUGAUGAGAAAGAAGAGAGUAGUGUCAUCAUUGAUGCACAAGUUUUCUGUGUGAGCUUUGUUGUGACGUACAUCAUGGUGCUGUUGGAAUAGCUGCAGUUUUGUACAUAAACCCAGACUGCGGCGAGCAUGGUUUUAUUUCAUUGAGAAGAGCAUCAACACUUGCUACUACUUUGUUGCGG
rnacentral:lncRNA from 1 species